AGUCCUCUAAAAUCAAGAUAUGCCCCUGUCUCUGUUUUCCAAUAGCAAAUUCCGUCUACAUAAUUAUUUCCCAAAGUUUUUCCAUUUGGAUUAUAAUCAGGAUAUGGAAUUUCCUUCCAGGAAUUACUUCUAAGAGAAUACAACUCAACUUGGUAUAUAAAAUCAGGAUGUGCAUAUUCUUCUUCACUAUUAACAAAAGUAAGAGUAACGAAUCGUAUGAAUUUGUAGUCAUCAGUUUUAGAAUCAAAGCCAAAAGCAGCGUGGUCAAAAGAAACGCCGUCUAAAGUAAGGUAGGUUUCUUCGAAUGGGGAAAAAUAUGGAGGGCGUUGGAUUGAAGAUGGUGGAAGGAUUUUAAACUCUCUAUUUGAUGGGUUCCAAAUGGCAGCCUUAUCCUUUGAAGGAUCAAAUAAACACAAUAAUCCAUGACAAGCACCAUAAAUAGAGGGGAUAUCAUUCCUAAAAAAGGGCAAGUGAAUGUUUUGUUUUACCAUAUAAUUUUGAUAUUUUUCAUUUGAAAGUUGAGAGAAAUAAAGUUGGAAGGUGUUACCAUCACAGCGACUAAGAAGUAGAUUAAGGUGGUUGUUUUCAAGGUUGUUGUGAUAAUUAUUGGAAAUGAAAUGAGGAGUUUGAAAAGAAGAACACCAAUACUUACAAACAUAAAUACUUGAGUCUCAAAAUAAGCACUAGCUCAAUAAAACACAUAUGAUAAUUUAGAUUACUGUAAUAAAACACAUAUUGAUAAUCCAGAUAUUACAUUAACAUUUUUAAACAUAUAUGAGACAAUUGUGGCAAAGCUAGCUAUGGAAAUUCUAUGGUAUUGGAUCCACUAUUGCACGGGCUGUAAAAUAAGUUGGAACAAUUUUGAGGCCUUCCAAAGGUACCGGAUGGCCCCGGUCUUCCAUAACAGAUAAACAACUCCUUGAGUAGUAGAACAUUAGUUCUUUGGUGUUUACUACAUGAGAUUUGCGGAGAUGCUCCUAUAAGUUGGAAAACUAUAUCCGCAACUUGUCGGACCGUAUAGGUAGAUCUACGUGUGAGUCCCAUAGCUAAAUCCCAAAAUUCAUUAAAACAAAUAAGAGACAAUAAAGUAUAUUAAACACAAAUAGGAAUGUGAAGGGAAAAUAAAAACAAUUUAUGCGAUAUACCUGAAUUUAAAUUUGUCCUAAGUUGUAUGGCCGAUUGGAAGUAUGACAGAGGAUGUUGUGCAAAGUCGGAAUAUGUGCCAUGUUCCAUCCAUUCGUGGAACCAAAAUUUAAUGUUUGGCUCUCCCAAAUUCAAGUUCGGCCAUUGUGAGCGCAAGUUGUUCCAAAGUGCUGCAUCCCUUAUUAACAAUUGCUUUUAAAUAAGAAACAAAAAAUUUUAUUAGAUUAUAGAUAAAUUACUUAAUAGUUUCAGGCGAAGAAUGUACGUAUGCAUACUCUGAGAGCUAAUUGUGAUGUCAUAGGUUGUGGAUUGGUGCAGCGAUGAUUUGUAUCAUAUGGGGGCACCGGCCUGUCAUGAGCAUCUUGUGCCCAAAUUCCAUGUAUUUUGAAUUCAGUUGGGAUUGGGAGUUUACAGUUGAGAGUAGAGCUACAAACAGAUGGAGGCCAUUGAAGUGCCAGCUUGUAGAAGUCCGGAAUUGCUGGUUGCUGGGGUACUGCAAAUGCUACCCAUAAUGAAAAAUUGAUACAAUGCAUUUUUACAAAUUUACAAAUAAAAAGAAAACUACAUUUAUAAAUAUUACAUGCAUGGAUGGUUGGGCUGAGAUUGGAUGAUUGUGCUUUGCGAGUAGCUGGUUUAUGAUCUCCUUUAUAAGCUUGGCACACAUAUUUCACAAAAUUUUCAAAGUCCUGCAACCAUGAAAUAAAUAUUGAAGUUACUUAUCCCAAAGUGUUACUUCACAAUCACACCAAGAGAGAAAUAAACAAACUCACUUGUCUGAGUGGCUGAUUAUUCACCACCACCCAUGGCACAUAUUCUUGAGGUGGCUUCAUAUGUGCAGUCACAUUAGAAUAUUGCAGCUGAAGCCGCAAUUCAUUAAUUUGGAAAUUCAAUGUUAGAAAAAGCAAAGGAGAGUUAAUUAAAUACUAAGACAUGCAGCCAACCUUAUAUCCGAAUCCAGUAGUAUAGCAUUUGUUGAUUAUCUCCUCAUUCAAUCUCAGCUUUUCACUACAAUAUUUCCACAGUGCUUCAAUGGGCGCCUCCUUUAAGCUUUGUUGCUCUGUGCAGCGAAUGAAUUCCAAGUGCUCUUUCUACACCACAGGAGAGUAAUUAAACAAGAGUUGGAGAUGAGAACAAAUACUUAUGGCUAAUAGAAGUUACUGCAUCAGGCCAUAAAUGGAUGACAACUAUGUAUAGUGUUUAAGUGACGUUCUUCUUCUCCAUGUUGCACAUUGUUGCAAAAACUAUAAUUAGUUAUAACACCAAAAAGAAAUUGAACUUCAUUAGUUAAUAAUGAUAAUACAUUAAAAUGAAGAACGGAGUUGUAAACCUGGCAAUGGAUUUCAGCAUUGCCCCAAGGGACCAAUCUUAGAUUGGUAAUGGUAUGGAGGUCAGUGCGGAAGACCUUGAGUAGGCCAUUGGAGAUAAGCGAGAAUAUUGCAAGAGCAGCCAGAAUAUAGAAGAUUAAUGGUUGAAGAUAAGCCAUUGUUUCAGUGGUAGCUUUUGAACAAUGCUAGACGUCAAUUGUGCAAGGCUUCUUAUAGUUGAGAAUUGGGAUGAUGAAUAUUGCUUUCUGUCACUUUCAGAAACCAUGAGACAAAUUUACAAAGUUAUCAUCUUUAAAAAACAAUUAUACACCACUUUAAAAAAAAAUUAUUUACAUGAAAGAUUGUUUAUCUAUUUAUGUAUGAAUAUUGUCUAAACAUGAAAGGAGAAGUCUUAUUAGAUAACAGAGUUUUAUAAUUGAAAUUAAGUUGGCCUUCUAAAAUGCUCUUAGACCAUUAUUAGUGAAUUAAAUAAACCUACUUGGCUCAUAUAAAUAAUUUGAACCAUCGUGCAGUACCAUGAGACAAGAAUCUACUUAGUCUAAAUGUUGUAUUAAUUAACCAUUAAUGAAUAUUAAUGGUAAAAAGUCAGUAUGUAAGUCCUUGUCAUAAUAAAGAUAAAAGAAAAUUACUUUGGCACCACCUCUCAUUAAUUCAUAAUAUUUGUGUGAAUGUUUAUUAAUCUUCACAAAGGAUGGACUUCUUUAAUUAUGAACAAUUCUAAGUGCUUGUCAAUUCUUAUUAUGAAGUCAUUCUUUAAUAUAAAUUAUAUAUUAGUCUUCAUAUAGCUUUUCUUUUCUGCAGUCAUCGUAUUAAGCGACUUCGAGGAAAACGAUGAAGAAACAGUGGAUACUUGAUGGAAGAGAGUAAUGAUAAUAAUCCACCACAUUCAAGUCUUGAAUUGAAUAAUAUAAUUCAAUUAUACAAAUCUCAUAUUGUUAAAGUGAAUUUUUGAGAUUCUUGUCUAUAAGUCAUUAUACUUCAUUAAGUUAAUAAAAAUUAAGUUUAGACCGUGAACUUGUGGCCUACAAGGCUAAUGCAAUUUACAUCCAAGUCCUUUUUGUUUUUAAAAUUAUUUUUUACUGAAUCUUUUAGAAAACUUCUUAACCUGUAAAAGUAUUUUAAUCGACUGAAGCUAUUUUCAGUUAAGUUCAUAUUAACCUUUUUCAAACUGUUUUUAGCUAAUUCAAUUAACUUACUUUUGUUAUGGUUAACCAGUGAAAUUUUUAUAAAUACACCUUCAAAAUUCCCAAUUUAUUCUUUACAUUCUCUUUCAGACACUCCUUGUUUCCUCAAAAGCUUUCUUCUACAAUUUUAGCCGAGUAUUUAUUUGGUUUGUUUUUCCUACCGAUUAAUAGAAUUGUUUGUUGAAGUCACGAAAUAUUUGUAAGGACAAUGAUAUUCACACUUCAAACAGUAAUUCUAAUAUUCUAAACCUCCUAUUUCUAACCAUUCCAAGGAUAAAAAUUAGAUAUAAAUGAUUUUCUCCUUUUAUUAUGUUGAAUUUAAUUACAGAACAAAUUUAAAGGAAAAUGAGUCGGGUGUUCAAAUUCUUUUAAUUUAUUUUAAGACUAAUCAUGUUUGAAGAGGCAUGAAUAUUUUUCCCAAAUUUCAAGACUUUGAUUUGAAAAUUACAAGAACUAGUUCGCAAAAAGGUAUGAAGUGAAUAAAACAUAGAUAUAAUGACCCUAAUGUUUUUUUUUCAUUUUUAUUAUAUAUUUUUAUUAUUUUCAAUCUUCAAAUUCUAAUCAAAUUAUUAUUUUUUAUAAAAAAUUAUCUAGAUUGCUAAAAUUUUAAUAAUGUUGAUGUUGUGACCUAGGUGACACUCCACUUAUACUUCAACGUUGAUGCGAUUUAAAAAAAAAAUUGAACUUUUAAUAUUUUAUGUAUUUUUUUUUUUGUAAAGUACAUAUUGUUGACACCAUUUUUUUGGAUGGAAAACGGGGUCGACUUGGGUUUUAAAAAAUGAAACGAAAACGGGAGUCGUCACCAAUCCUUUUUUAUAAGGUGUGACUGGAUCACCUCGAAAAGUGGUUAUUUUUAAUAAAAGGUUUGAUUUUAUUAAAACAACAAGUUUGGUCCACGAAAUUCAGAAAAAACGGGUUCGGGAGUCGGUUACGCACGAGGAAGGAUUAGCACCCUCGAUACGCCCAAAAUUGGUACCUAGUUGAUCACUCAAGGUCUGCAUGUCGGAAAUUGAAAACUUUAAAGAAAUUUAAAAUACGAUCCUUAAAAAAACUUGAAUGGCAUGGAUUAAAAUUUAAGAGGAUAUUUGGCAAUUUGGUUAAACGAGAAAUCGAAACCCAGCACAUUAGGGCACGUUCCUCGAAUUUCCGAAGGCAAAACAUUGCCUUAUUUUGAAAUAUAUAUAUAUUUUAAAAAGGAUAUUAAGCCAUUUGGUUGAACGAGAAAAAUCAACACCCAGCACCUUAGGGCGUGUUUUCUCGAAUUUCCAAACGCAAAACAUUGCCAUAUUUUGAAAUUUUUUAAAGGAUAUUAAGCCAUUUGGUUGAAUGAGAAAAUCGACACCCAGCACCUUAGGGCGUGUUUUUCUCGAAUUUCCAAACGCAAAACAUUGCCUUAUUUAGGAAUAUUUUCCUUUUUUAAAAUAUGAUAUUAAUAUGCAGAGUGGAAUAAUAAAUAUGAUAGUGUGAAAUAAAAAUGAACAAAAAUAAAUAAUAAAACAAAUCAAUCAUGCAUAUAUCAUAGCAAAUAAAUAAAUAAACUAAAGCAUAAAGAUGGACAUAUAAAUGAAUACAUAAGUGAACAUAAAAUUAAAGGAAAAUAUAUGAAAAUUAUAAAAUAUAAAAAAGGUAGGUACAUAUGAGGGAAAUAUGUAUGUAUAUACAUAAAAUUAUGGAAAUAUAAAAGAUGUGUAUAUAAAAGUAUGUAUAUAUGUGUAUACUUUUUAUAAAAGAGAACUAUGUACGUAUAAAUAUGUUAUAUAAAUGUAUUAACGUGUGUAUAUAUAUAUAUAUACUUUGAAAUUAUAAAAUAAAAACAUAUGUACAUAUUUUAAAAUUAUUAUAUAAAAUAUAUAUAUAUAAGUAAGUAUAUACAUAUUCGUGAGAAAAAAAUAUAAAUAUACAUAUAUAUAAAUAUAUAUAUAAUGAGUACUUAUGUAUGUAUAAAAAAAUAAAAAAUAUAUAUACAUAUAUAUAUAUGUAAGCAAUUAUAUAAUAAUAAUAUAAUAUGUCACAUAUAUCUAAGAUUUAUAUAAGUAAAUAUAAGUAUAAAUAUAAUGAUAGUAAUAAGAAUAUUAGUAAUAAUACUAAUAAUAAUAAUAAUAAUAAAACUACUGAAAAAAGGACUAAAUCGAAAUAAAAUAAAAAUACUGGGCGAAUUUGAAAUAAAAAAGACGAAAAGGACCAAAAUGUGACGCGCGAGAAAGGACGGAGGGCCAAAUGGGAAAUAAUCCCCAUCCUCCAAAACGCGCAGGUUCAAUAGGGACCAAACUGGAAAGCAAAACAAAUUAAUGGUGCCAAAUUAAAACACAAAACGAAAAGCCAAAGGAGUAAAUUGAAAGAGGGUGACAAUGUGAAAGUACUCGCAGCGCAAAUAGCCCAUAAGGCGCAAAAACACGCGGACCUUGGCCGCGGGUCGGGUUGAGAUUCGGGUAAGGGCAAAACGACGUCGUUUUGGGGCCUUUCUGACCCUUCCAAAACGGCGCCGUUUUGGAUUCCUAUAUAAGUAAAAAAACCCCUAAAAAAAAUCAUUUCAUCCCUCUUUUUAAAAAAAAAAUUUUCAGAAAACUCUCCCUUCUCUCCCUUUCAGCCCAGACUCCGCUCAACAUCCGGCGAGUGCUCCGGCUAUCGGCGCCGUCGCGCCGGCCACCGUACACGGUGGCCAGAAAUCCAAAAAAUGUAUUUUUUUGCUUUUUUUUUUACGUUUAUUCGUUUUAUAUAUGUAAAAUAAAAGAAAUAAAAUCGAAUACAAUCAGUUUCGAAAGGAAGAAAAAUAAAAAGGAAAUGAGGAAAGGGAAUAGAUCUUAUACCGAAAANNNNNNNNNNNNNNNNNNNNNNNNNNNNNNNNNNNNNNNNNNNNNNNNNNNNNNNNNNNNNNNNNNNNNNNNNNNNNNNNNNNNNNNNNNNNNNNNNNNNNNNNNNNNNUUUUUGUUCUUUGCGUGUCUUCUCCCCUUGCAGGUGGAGUCGGUGGCGACGUGACGUGACGGAGGCGUGUGAGGCGCAGUGGCAGGUGGGCAUAGUAGGGUAGGGCGGCGGCAGAGGCUAGAAGAGACCUGAAGGCCCUAGGUACGGCGCCUAGGGUUUUUUCUUUCAUUUUGUUUGGAUGAAAAUGUUUAGUUUUGGGCUUAGGGUUUCAGUUUGGUAGUGGGCUGGUAUUGUAAUGUGGGCUUGUGGGUUGUAAUUGGGUAUUGGGUCUUUUAUUUAUAAUGGGCCCCGGGCAAAUUUGGGCUUUUACAGCUGCCCCUCUUUGCUCGUUGUUAUGUAACGAGAACAGAGCAAAGACUAAGAAAGACCAAAUUUGCCUGGUCUUGCCGAGCCUCGACUUCUCUUGACACUUCUUUUCAAGUAGCUUCGUUCCAGUCCAUUGUGUCUUGUCACUUCAAUCCACUCUACUGCGCUUUAGGGAAAUCUGACUUGUAGCUUCAAUCUUCUUCGCAGCAACUUCAGGGGGACGAGAUUUGUGGUUUAAGUCUAUUCCACUACAACGUCAGGGAGAUAAGACUUGCUGUGAUCUGCUCCACUACUGCUUAGGGAGAUAAGACUUGAUGCGAUCUGCUCCACUACUGCUUAGGGAGAUAAGAUCUGGUUUCUUUCGUCUGCUCCACUACUGCUUAGGGAGAUAAUACUUGAUGCGAUCUGCUCCACUACUACUUAGGGAGAUAAGAUCUGGUUUCUUUCGUCUGCUCCACUACUGCUUAGGGAGAUAAGAUCUGUGGUUUUAAUCCGCUCCGCUGUAACUUCAGGGAGAUAGGAUAGUGUCUUCGAUCUACUCUGCUGUAACCUCAGGGGGAUAAGAUCUGAAAUUCUUCGGUCUACUCUACUGUAACCUCAAGGAGAUAAGACCUGGUGCGAUCUGCUCUAUUGUAACUUCAGAGAGAUAAGAUCCUUUAUUUUAAUUCGCUCCACUAUAACUUCAGGGAGAUAGGAUUAUGUCUUCAAUCUGCUCCGCUGUAACCUCAGGGAGAUAAGAUCUGAAAGUCUUCGGUCUACUCCACUGUAACCUCAGGGAGAUAAGACCUGGUGCGAUCUGCUCUACUGUAACUUCAGAGAGAUAAGAUCCUUUAUUUUAAUCCGCUCCACUGUAACUUCAGGGAGAUAGGAUUAUGUCUUCGAUCUGCUCCGCUGUAACCUCAGGGAGAUAAGAUCUGAAAGUCUUCGGUCUACUCCACUGUAACCUCAGGGAGAUAAGACCUGAUGCGAUCUACUCUACUGUAACUUCAGAGAGAUAAGAUCCUGUCUUCGAUCUGCUCCGCUGUAACCUCAGGGAGAUAAGAUCUGAAAGUCUUCGGUCUACUCUACUGUAACCUCAGGGAGAUAAGACCUGGUGUGAUCUGCUCUACUGUAACUUCAGAGAGAUAAGAUCCUUUAUUUUAAUCCGCUCCACUGUAACUUCAGGGAGAUAGGAUUAUGUCUUCGAUCUGCUCCGCUGUAACCUCAGGGAGAUAAGAUCUGAAAGUCUUCGGUCUACUCUACUGUAACCUCAGGGAGAUAAGACCUGGUGUGAUCUACUCUACUGUAACUUCAGAGAGAUAAGAUCCUUUAUUUUAAUCCGCUCCACUGUAACUUCAGGGAGAUAGGAUUAUGUCUUCGAUCUGCUCCGCUGUAACCUCAGGGAGAUAAGAUCUAAAAGUCUUCGGUCUACUCUAUUGUAACCUCAGGGAGAUAAGACCUGGUGUGAUCUGCUCUACUGUAACUUCAGAGAGAUAAGAUCCUUUAUUUUAAUCCGCUCCACUGUAACUUCAGAGAGAUAGGAUUAUGUCUUCGAUCUGCUCCGCUGUAACCUCAGGGAGAUAAGAUCUGAAAGUCUUCGGUCAACUCUUACUGUAACCUCAGGGAGAUAAGACCUGAUGCGAUCUACUCUACUGUAACUUCAGAGAGAUAAGAUCCUGUCUUCGAUCUGUUCCGCUGUAACCUCAGGGAGAUAAGAUCUGAAAGUCUUCGGUCUACUCCACUGUAACCUCAGGGAGAUAAGACCUGACGCGAUCUACUCUGCUGUAACUUCAGAGAGAUAAGAUCCUUCAUUUUAAUCCACUCCACUAUAAUCUCAGGGAGAUAGGAUUACUAACUUUAAUCUGCUCCGCUGUAAUCUCAGGGAGAUAAGAUCUGAAAUUCUUCAGCCAGCUUCACUACAACCGAGAGAGGUAAGGUUCGUCUUCGACCUGUUUCACUGUCAAUGCAAGAAGGCAAGAUCUGUUGUCUUCAACCAGCUCCAUCACAACCGAGGAAGGCAAGGUUUGUGUCUUCGACCGGCUUCGCUGUCAAUGCAGGAAGGCAAGAUCUUUUGUCUUCAACCAGCUCCAUCACAACCGAGAGAGGUAAGGUUUGUGUCUUUGACCUGUUUCGCCGUCAAUGCAGGAAGGCAAGAUCUUUUGUCUUCAACCAGCUCCAUCACAACCGAGAGCGGCAAGGUUUGUGUCUUUGACCUGCUUCGCCGUCAAUGCAGGAAGGCAAGAUCUUUUGUCUUUAACCAGCUCCACUGCAACCAAUGAAGGCAAGGCUUUGUUUUCGAUCUGCUUUGCUGUUAACGCAGGAAGGCAAGAUCUGCUUAUUUAACCAGCUCCACUGUAACCAAUGAAGGCAAGGCUUUGUUUUCGAUCUGCUUCGCUGUUAACGCAGGGAGGCAAGAUCUGCUUCUUCACUGAUCUGUUCUCUAGGGAACAUGACCUGUAUGUUCUAUUUUAUGAACCUAAUUGUGCCUAGUGAUUAGGAUGACAUGAAAAUGCUCCUAACUAGAUGUGUAUGAAUGACAUUUGAAUGAAUGCAAAAUGAAAAUGGUUCCUUAAUGCUUAGGUUAUCAUCACGUAAAAGCUUAUUAAGGCUUUAUCACUGACGCGCUACAACGCCUUCUUGCUCGGCAGGCGUAUCCAAACAAACACUUAAUUUGAAUGGCCCCCAGUGUGAUCUUCAAACUUCAAUCCACUGGGAUGCAAAAUUUGUACCAUCAUUCUCCCACUGUAAUCCAAGAGUAGAAAGAUAUGGCUUUUCUCGAUCUUCUCCUAUCGCAAUUUAAGGACAUAGAAUGUGAAGCUCUUUGGUCCUUUACCUCAUUCCCAAGGUGUCAUACCAAAUGCUCAUACACAAUUGCAAAAUUUUAUUCUCCAAGAAAACCUUUUCUUUUUGCCUGGUGAACAUCACUUGUUGGUUCAUUGAAGCUUUGCUACCAACACGUCAUCUUGUCAUUUUGCUCAAUCAAUGUUUGGACAACAAAAUCUGAAAAGAUAGUCUUUAACUUAGACUCUUCCUUCUUAGAUAUUUCACCCUUUAAACUUGGUGUUUUCUAAACAAUAGCUCUGCCUCAGGUUCCUAUAUUAUUUAGAAACUUCUAGAGUAAUAUGCAAAACUUCCAUUGUGAAAGUGUUAUUAGUCCAUUAAUCAUUAUUCUAAUGCAACAUGCUUGCAAAGAGAACAUAACGAUAGAUAAAAUAGAAUUGAUUUGAGAGCAUAGCUCGAAAUGAAUGAAUUAUCAAGGGUAGUAAGAAUAAAAGAGGAAUUGAUUGGAAUACGUAUCUUGAAAAAGAAUGAAGUAUUCCAAGAACAACAACAAACUCAAUAUAUAAAUAGUAUGAAUGUUAGGCACCCUAGAUAUCGCAGCUUGAACUCCUCUGUACAAACUUUCUGAAGAUUUUCCUGAGUUUGACAUGUGUUUAGGAGAUCUACAUGACUCUGUCGAUGCCCCAAGACGUUUCCUUACCCUUUCAGGUAUAGCAAGAUCACCACAUGCCCCGAUCUGAUCACUUCAUGCCCUAUUCUGAUCAAUAUUUGAGCCGCCCUUCGGGUUUUCAACUCAAAUCCCUUUUGGCCUAAGGUGCCCUUUGCGGGUUUUCCCCUUAGCCUCUCUAUUUUUACUUUUUUAUUUUUUCAUUUUUCAUCAUUUUUUUUGUUUGACUCAAAGUACCCUUUGCAGGUUCUCACCUUGGUCCUUCCUUCUUCUUUAAAUGAAGUGUUUCUCAAUUGGAUCUGAGUUUAUAGGAUUGACAAUCUCACUCAGGAUCAGUGCUCCUCUGAAAAUGGUCUUCUUUACAACAUAAGGACAUUCUUGGUUUGGCAUUCAUUUCGCUUUAGAAUCCUUUCGUUAAGGAAGAAUCUUUUUCAACAUCCAACCCUCUCGUGGAAUUCUUUGAGACCAGCCUGUUUAUUAUGGGCUCAUAUUAUUUAUUUAUGGUACAUCCGACCCUGAUGAAUAGCUUUUAACCCUUUUCCUAGGGUCAACUGAUCACAUCGCGAUUGGGUCCCUCCAACAAGUAAUGAAGGGAUUUUAAUAGGUAAAACUACCUCAUUCUUGUAAACCAAAAAGAGAGGUGUUGCCCCAGUACAGAUGUUCGACAAACAAUGAGGGCAUAUGGUAAUUUCUCACGUCAAUCCUUGUAAGUCUCAGUCAUUUUCCUUCAAUUUUCGAUGUUUAACUCUAGGAACUUCAGUGACGAAUCAUGGUGUCCACUUCUGAGUUAAUUUGAGACCUCAGCUAUCAUGCUAUUGUUUAAGCUCAAAGCAUUCUCCAACACCAUCCUCACUGAAAUUCUGUAUCAGUAUAAAAUGACCUUGAUCCAUGCAGUAGCCUCUAAAAAAUGAAGCAAUGCCCAUCAGAAGUCUUCGAUAAUGGUGAUGUCCAUGCCCUAUUUUGCUCAAAAUUUGAGUCACCUUUUUUCGGGUUUUCAACUCAGAUCCACCUUUGGUCAAAGCGCCUUUUGCGGGUUUUCGCCUUGACCUCUCCUUUUUCUUUUUCUUUUUCUUUUUCUUUUUCUUUUUUCUAUUUUUGACUUUGAUUUUUUUAUUUUUGUUUUUCUUUUGAUUUUUUGAUUUUUUGAUUUUUUGAUUUUUUUUUUGAGUCUGAACUCAUGAGAUCAGGCAAGUCCUGGUCAUGUUUUUCGACCAGAAUCAAUGUUAUUCUAAAGUCUUCCACAUAAGAUCUUCCACUUUCAUCUUGUAUGUGAAAAACCUUCUUUGGUACCAGAUUUUUUUCAUAGAGCCCUUUUGGGACGCAACUACGACAAAACUUUGGAUCUUCCUCUUUAACCAGGAUAAAAUCCAACAACAUCUUGAAAGGAUGGAAACUCAACUUCAAAUGGGCAAAGCUAUGCUGAAUCAAUGAGAGAGGCAUUGCCCCGGCAAAGAAUUGCAUCGUUCGCACUGUAAAUUUCUAACAACAUGCUGUUGUGCAGGUUUUAUUAUAAGAAUCGAGGCAUACCCUGGUAUGAUCAUACAAAGNNNNNNNNNNNNNNNNNNNNNNNNNNNNNNNNNNNNNNNNNNNNNNNNNNNNNNNNNNNNNNNNNNNNNNNNNNNNNNNNNNNNNNNNNNNNNNNNNNNNUAACUCAAAAAGGUCUUGCUUCGCCUCUGUGGUCAGGUCAAUUCUAGUCUUCACCAAGCUCACAAUUUCUAAUGAUUCCUUGAGAGGUAGGAUCUGUUUAUCCUCUUGUUCUACCAUCCUCAACAAGUCUGGGGAUAGGCUACAAUCUAUGUCAUCUUCAAAGUCGUAAGAUCCCUCUAAACACAUGUCUCGCUCAAAAGGAGAUUCUAAGUAUGUAGCAAAGUCAUUCACGUCGUUGAUAUCCAGGGACCUACUGUAGGUACAAAAGAAUAUACAAAGAAUGUAUGAAUUUAAGAAUAAUUAUCUGCACAGUAUGAUUAAAAAAAUGAUUUGGAUGAAAGAAUAAAAGAAUAAUCAUUCAAGAAAUGAAAGAAUAUUGGUUCAAAAGAUCGCAAAGAUGCAUUCCAUUAAAAUAAUGAUGUUCAGACAUGAGCCUAUUUCACAAAAGACUUCUUGUUGCCUCUAGGCUAAAAGCAACAAGUGUGUUUUGAAUAUUACUCUGAGUAAGCUCUAAAUACUAUAGGGGUUCCUUUAGAACACUCCCAAGUUUAUAAGGGCGAACAUCUAAUAAGAUCUCUUCUCCGAUUGCUUCUUCGUAUUCGGCACUGAUGUGAACGUUUCCCAACAUCUCUUCAUUCAUGCAUUCCUUUCAUUAUCCGUAUGAUUGAGUAGCGGGUUUUCUGUACUAGAUAAAUCGUCCAAUUUGACAAUGCCUAUACUGAUAAGCCUUUCAACCACCUUUUUAAAGGCAAUGCAAUUUUCUAUGGAAUGCCCCGUAUUUCCCGCAUAAUAUUCGCAUUGUGCAUUCGCAUCGUGCCAUUUGGGGUACGGAGGCUGUGGAGGUUUUGAGUAGAAAGGGGAAACGAUGUGCGCAUCGAAUAACUUUUAGUACAGCUCCUUAUACGUCAUUGGAAUUGGCGUGAACUGGAGGUUCUCAGUACCUUGUUUCACCUCAGAUUCUUACUUUAAAGGACUCCGACGUCUGGUAGUUUCUGUUUUUGAUCGGUCCACAGUGAUUGGUUUUGAGUGGCCCUUGUUAUAUAUAUUCGCAUUAUUCCCCCUAUUCCCCUUCUUCUUUGGGGCCUCUAUAAUAUCUGGGUACCCUGCCCCUACCUGCUUCAUUUCUUCUGGAUCAUCACGUGCAACAAGAAAAUUAUUCCUCAAAUUGGAUCUUAGGCCCGUCAAGCCACUUACUGGUGCUAUUGUACUAGUCUGAUAUUGUUGAGAUCUUAUGGUAAAGAGUGCCCCUUGUGGACGCCCAUCCGGCUGGACUUGGACACUUGUCGGAGUAUAAUCUAGGGAAUGGGCAAGAUCAUUAUUAUCAACCCCAAAGUGGACCACUGGGUCCUUCCUUUUUUCUAACUCUCCAGCUGGCAGUCGGUUGAACUGACUCAUCAAGGUUCUUUGUAAUUCUAGCAUCUGAUCUCUCAUCUCCUGUUGAAAUUCAGUCAAUUGCUCCCGCAUCUGAAUCUGCAUUCACUCUAAUAUCUCCAACCUUUGGUCCAUUCCUUAGUUUCUAUUCGGGUACUGCAAAAAUGUUGGUUUUCCAGACUUUCUGAAAUAAUUUUACCUAAUUAGGGUCACUUCGUGAAAAUCUAAUGCAUGUGAUACAAUGUAAUGCAAAUGCAUGAAAUGAAUGCCUAAAGAGACGUUGAUUCUGAUUCAAUUAUAUUUAGGAAACUUUUCUAGAAAGUAAAUUCCCUUACAUAAAACGGAUACAUGUACGACCUCACCCUCAUAUUCCAAGAAACAACAUCGGUUUUUUCUUCAUCCACAUGUUUGAGGUAAUCUCUCCAAUAGAUGCCAUUGCUAGCUCAUUUUCUUGAUCUUGGUCGCGAUCCAUCAUCUGCCCAUCUUCAUAAAGCUCGUCCGCCUCUUUAAAGGGGUGGAAUGUUGAAGGCUCUUAGAUAAUUGCCUUGAAUCCUCAGGCUACGAAGCAGGGUCACGAACUCUUCCAUCGCCAUUCUUGUGUUUCUCAGAAUAUAUUCGGGAAGUCGUAUUGUUUUCCACUUUAUCAAGGAAUCCGUAUUCCAUGACAAACUUUCUAAUUUAGUAAUCGGACUUGAAUCAAUAUCUCUUUCCUAAGAUGCAAAUGCGAUGCAAUCAUAAUCAAAGCACAAAAAGAGGGGUUAGUACAAAAAUAAACAAGGAAAACAGAAAGUACCUAAUCGGGUGACUACUAGGGGUUUGGAGUGGCUCUAUCUAGGCUAAGUUCCUAAGUCCACUAUAUGAGGUUUGGCUCUAAAGAUAAGGUACCCGAACUAGCAGAUUCCUCGAUCUUCACCCAUUAUAGGUUCAUACAGACCGAGUUCGGUUCAGGGGAAUACAUUUCCCUAUGGCUGCACGGAGAUGAAAAUCUCACGAAGACAUAGGUACGGAUGUAUCCCGAAAGCGAUCCACUAUCCUGCACGGAGGUGAAAACCUCACGAAGGAGUAGCUUCUCACUCCCACUUAAAAGGUGUGACCAGCAGUCAUGCAAUGCAAUGCAGAAAGAUAUAAAAAUUUAAAAUACAAAACAUGAUGAAAACUAUAACUCAAAACAAAUGAAAUGCAAUGAGAGGAUCGUAUAUUUAAAUCAAAUUUUUGACUUUCGACAAAAAGACAAAAAGUAAUCAACUCGUGGCUUGACUCUCUUAUUUUUGGGUCCCCAGCGGAGUCGCCAAGCUGUUGACACCAUUUUUUUGGAUGGAAAACGGGGUCGACUUGGGUUUUAAAAAAUGAAACAAAAACGGGAGUCGCCACCAAUCCUUUUUUAUAAGGUGUGAUUGGAUCACCUCGAAAAGUGGUUAUUUUUAAUAAAAGGUUUGAUUUUAUUAAAACAACAAGUUUGGUCCACGAAAUUCAGAAAAAAUGGGUUCGGGAGUCGGUUACGCACGAGGAAGGAUUAGCACCCUCGAUACGCCCAAAAUUGGUACCUAGUUGAUCACUCAAGGUCUGCAUGUCGGAAAUUGAAAACUUUAAAGAAAUUUAAAAUACGAUCCUUAAAAAAACUUGAAUGGCAUGGAUUAAAAUUUAAGAGGAUAUUUGGCAAUUUGGUUAAACGAGAAAUCGAAACCCAGCACAUUAGGGCACGUUCCUCGAAUUUCCGAAGGCAAAACAUUGCCUUAUUUUGAAAUAUAUAUAUAUAUUUUAAAAAGGAUAUUAAGUCAUUUGGUUGAACGAGAAAAAUCAACACCCAGCACCUUAGGGCGUGUUUUCUCGAAUUUCCAAACGCAAAACAUUGCCAUAUUUUGAAAUUUUUUAAAGGAUAUUAAGCCAUUUGGUUGAAUGAGAAAAAUCGACACCCAGCACCUUAGGGCGUGUUUUCUCGAAUUUCCAAACGCAAAAUAUUGCCUUAUUUAGGAAUAUUUUCCUUUUUUAAAAUAUGAUAUUAAUAUGCAGAGUGGAAUAAUAAAUAUGAUAGUGUGAAAUAAAAAUGAACAAAAAUAAAUAAUAAAACAAAUCAAUCAUGCAUAUAUCAUAGCAAAUAAAUAAAUAAACUAAAGCAUAAAGAUGGACAUAUAAAUGAAUACAUAAGUGAACAUAAAAUUAAAGGAAAAUAUAUGAAAAUUAUAAAAUAUAAAAAAGGUAGGUACAUAUGAGGGAAAUAUGUAUGUAUAUACAUAAAAUUAUGGAAAUAUAAAAGAUGUGUAUAUAAAAGUAUGUAUAUAUGUGUAUACUUUUUAUAAAAGAGAACUAUGUACGUAUAAAUAUGUUAUAUAAAUGUAUUAACGUGUGUAUAUAUAUAUAUAUACUUUGAAAUUAUAAAAUAAAAACAUAUGUACAUAUUUUAAAAUUAUUAUAUAAAAUAUAUAUAUAUAAGUAAGUAUAUACAUAUUCGUGAGAAAAAAAUAUAAAUAUACAUAUAUAUAAAUAUAUAUAAUGAGUAUUUAUGUAUGUAUAAAAAAAUAAAAAAUAUAUAUACAUAUAUAUAUGUAAGCAAUUAUAUAAUAAUAAUAUAAUAUGUCACAUAUAUCUAAGAUUUAUAUAAGUAAAUAUAAGUAUAAAUAUAAUGAUAGUAAUAAGAAUAUUAGUAAUAAUACUAAUAAUAAUAAUAAUAAUAAAACUACUGAAAAAAGGACUAAAUCGAACUACUGAAAAAAGGACUAAAUCGAAAUAAAAUAAAAAUACUGGGCGAAUUUGAAAUAAAAAAGACGAAAAGGACCAAAUGGGAAAUAAUCCCCAUCCUCAAACGCGCAGGUUCAUAGGACCAAACGAAAAGCCAAAGGAGUNNNNNNNNNNNNNNNNNNNNNNNNNNNNNNNNNNNNNNNNNNNNNNNNNNNNNNNNNNNNNNNNNNNNNNNNNNNNNNNNNNNNNNNNNNNNNNNNNNNNNNNNNNNNNNNNNNNNNNNNNNNNNNNNNNNNNNNNNNNNNNNNNNNNNNNNNNNNNNNNNNNNNNNNNNNNNNNNNNNNNNNNNNNNNNNNNNNNNNNNNNNNNNNNNNNNNNNNNNNNNNNNNNNNNNNNNNNNNNNNNNNNNNNNNNNNNNNNNNNNNNNNNNNNNNNNNNNNNNNNNNNNNNNNNNNNNNNNNNNNNNNNNNNNNNNNNNNNNNNNNNNNNNNNNNNNNNNNNNNNNNNNNNNNNNNNNNNNNNNNNNNNNNNNNNNNNNNNNNNNNNNNNNNNNNNNNNNNNNNNNNNNNNNNNNNNNNNNNNNNNNNNNNNNNNNNNNNNNNNNNNNNNNNNNNNNNNNNNNNNNNNNNNNNNNNNNNNNNNNNNNNNNNNNNNNNNNNNNNNNNNNNNNNNNNNNNNNNNNNNNNNNNNNNNNNNNNNNNNNNNNNNNNNNNGGCUUUAUAGCCGAUUACAUGUUAUUAUUUUGCUUUUUUUGUUCUUUGCGUGUCUUCUCCCCUUGCAGGUGGAGUCGGUGGCGACGUGACGUGACGGAGGCGUGUGAGGCGCAGUGGCAGGUAGGCAUAGUAGGGUAGGGCGGCAGCAGAGGCUAGAAGAGACCUGAAGGCCCUAGGUACGGCGCCUAGGGUUUUUUCUUUCAUUUUGUUUGGCUGAAAAUGUUUAGUUUUGGGCUUAGGGUUUCAGUUUGUAGUGGGCUGGUAUUGUAAUGUGGGCUUGUGGGUUGUAAUUGGGUAUUGGGUCUUUUAUUUAUAAUGGGCCCCGGGCAAAUUUGGGCUUUUACACAUAUAUAUUAUCAUGUAGGUUAUAACAUCAAUUUUUUAUGAAGUACAUUUGUAUUAUCAUACCGUAUUCAACAGACUGUCAUUCAAGUGGCCAUCCGAGUUUUCUAUUUUUCAUCAUAUGAUGAUUCCCUAUGGAAUUAGCCCUUUAUUAACUGAUACAUUUUCAAUAAUUUCCCUUUAAAGAGGAAUAGUAUUGACAGACAUAUCUCUCACUUAGUUCAUCCUUUCUAGUACCUCUUUCCGUCAAAGGGAUUCUAACUAACUCUUCUUUACCGAUUUGUUUGUAACUCUUCUUUUCAAAUCAAUCCUUCCUACAUGACAAACCUUUUGUCUUCUUUAAUUAUGAACAAAUCACAAUUCUUAGAAGGGUUCAAAGGGUUAAGUGUUUUGAAGGACAGUGGCAGAUCAGAUUUAUGUCUAAAGAAACAAACUUAAUUGCGGACCGAUUGGCUAAGCUUUGCCUUGCAUGAAAGUCGAGCUUACAAAUUUUUGAUGUACCUCCUAAUGAAGUAUUGGGGACUCUUCAACAAGAUAAAGCUUGUGGUGCUUUUGAACAAUUGAAUUGAUAUGAUUUUGUUUUACCUUCACCAAAAAAAUACAAAUUAUAACAAAAGAAAAAUAGUAUAGAUAUAUAAUCAUAAAUUUUAUAAAACAUAAAUUCUCAAAGAGGCAUAGCACAUUAACUACAAAGGUAGCCUACUGGUGAUAAAAUCUUCCAGUUAAACAGAUAAACUCCAAAUUUAUCAUAUGACAAUAAAUGAAAAAGAAAGGUGGAACAAGCCAAAAUAAGCAGAUCAUUUAAGCAAGAAGAGCACAAACAAACAAACAAAAAUUCCUUCUUUUAUUAUGUUAAGUCGUGCCGUCUUUGUAAGGAAUAAAAAGGUGGCAAGAUGUCUUUGUUCCCAGGCUCGUAAACUCGCUCCUAGUUCUUCUCCCAUUUUCGUCCACUAGGUAAGGGGUAAAGUGCAAUUUUACCUUUACCGAUUUAAAAUUUUUAAAGAACCUAAAUGAAUAAUUUUUCAUUUUAGGGGGAGCUGGCCCUGCUAGUCCUUUUUAGGGGUGAACUCCUUUUGGUUCAGCUUUUGGGUACAAACUAAAUAAAUAAGAAAGACUAAAAAAGAUAAAGAACAAAUUUCUUGGAGCUUUCCUCUGACAAAUAUUUUAAUUAUGAAUGGCAUUCUAUGGUGCUAAUUACAGUUUAAUUUCGGUCCUUAAAAAAGUUUUUUUUUCUUUUUUUAUUUCACUCCGGCCUCUUUGUGAAAUUCCUUGGAGCUUUCCUUUGACAAAUAUUUUCAUAUGAAUGGCAUUAUAGUCCUUUUAUUCUAUUGUGCUAAUCACUUGGUUUCUUUGGGUCAUGGGAUUAUAAACCUUUCGUCUUCAUUAAUUAUAAACAAUUCUAAGUGCUUGCCAAUUAUUAUUAUGAAGUCAUUCUUUAAUAUAAGUUAUAUAUUAGUCUUGAUAUAGCUUUUCCUUAUUCCAUUUCUUGUUGGUUCUCAACUGUUGAAGGGUUCAAUAUCAUUUCUACUCUCCUUUUCUGCAGUCAUCAUAUCAAGCGACUUCACAGGGAAAACGAUGAAGAAAUAGUGGAUAAUUGAUGAAAGAGAGUAAUGAUAAUAAUUCAUCAUAAUCAGAUCUUUACGAGUAUUGAAUUGAAUAAUAUAAUUAAAUUUAAAUCAAUCAAUUAAUUAAUUCACACAUUUCUUUUAUAAAGUAAAUGUUUAAUAUUCGAAAUUAUUUUAAUAAAUCUUUUCUAAAAUCUUAACCUCAAGAUUUUAUUGACAUGUCAAUUGUCAAUUGUAACCUUAAUGCUUAUGCAUUUUAAAAAUUAUACAAAUCUCACAUUGUUGAAGAAAGAUUUUGAAAUUCUUGUUUAUAAGCAGGAAAAAUUAAGUUUAGAGGGUCUUGUGACUUGUGCAUUGAGCCGCAAAGCCAAUGCAAUUUACAUCCAAUGUCUUUUUUGUUUUUGAAAUUAUUUUUUUACUCAAUUUUUGAGAGUUAAAAGAAAAGUAAUUAAUCGUUUUAACUUGUAAGAUCUAUAUUUAGUCAAACUAAAAAUAACUUAAUCGAUUGAAGUUAUUUUUAGUUAAAUACAGAUUCAUUUUGAAGAUCAACAGAGAUUGGUGUUUGAAUGAAACAUGGAUGACAAGGGAAGAAUAGAGCAAUAGGAGAAAUAAUGAUACUGACUUGUUGUAGAUUGUGUUGGAAUAGCUAGUACCAUAAUUAGGGGAGAGUAAAACUCGAUUCGACUCAAAAAAAAUUUUAAUUUUAAAUUUUGAGUUAAUUGAAUCAAGUUAUUCGGUUUUUUUUAGCCAACUCAAAUAAGUAAUUUGAGUUUUGAGUUCAAGUAGAGUUAUAUUUUACAAUUUGAAUAAUAGAUUGGUAUAAAUACACCUUUGAUCCCUGUCAAUUUUAAAAAUGAGCAAAAUGAUUUCUCUAAAAAAAAAAAACCAAACUUGUUUAAAGUAUUGUGAUAAGGGGAGUAGUUUCACAUGGAUGAACACACAUUUUCAUUCUGUUAUAGACCGAAGAAACCUGAAGAAGAUCAUGUGGCACUUGAUACUAGCAUACUUUUAAUUACCACAACUAGUUUAGAUUUUGUGAAGAAGAGGGAGCACUGUGUGCUAUUGCUAUUGCAAUUCUAUUGUUGCAAUUUUGCUACUACAAUUUAGGGAGACUUAUUUUUAUCAACAAAAAUGUGACAAGGUUAUCUCGAUUUAAAAAUGCUUUAUUCUCAUAAAAAUGUAAGUAUGAACAAACAUAAAAUAUAUUAAUCGAUCAUGAUUGUCCGCACAUGAACGGAGAAAUCUUAGUACAUAAUAUUUUUUACUUGUUAUCUUAUUACAUAAUAAAGUUGUAAAGAAUUUAAACUAUAAUAAUUUAUAAUUUAAAUUAAUUUAAUAAAGUACCUACUGAAUCAUUAGCCUUCUAAAAUUUUAUUAGACCAUUAUUAGUGAAUUAAAUAAACCUAAUUGACUCAUAUAAAUAAUUGGAUCCAUCGUGCACUGCCAUGAGGCGUGAAUUACAUUCUAGUUAGUCUAAAUGUUGUAUUAAUUUCUUUUAACUUUUGGUUGAGCUUUUGGGUACUAACUAAAUAAAUAAGAAAGACUACAAAAAGAUAAAGAGAUGUCCUCUUUGCAGUGGCGUUUGUUGGGGUUAGCAAGGCACGGCUUUGUUAAAAUAGAAAUUUGUUUAUUUAAGUUUUUUAAAAAUUUUAAAAUUUUAAAUUAAUAAAGAUAAAUUAUAUUUUAGUUAACUUAAAAAUGAUAAAAAUUUGAUUUAAUCUUCUAAAAAUUAUAAAGAUACAGGUUAUUAAAAAUUACAGUUUAAUUUUGACCCCUAAAAAAGUUUUCUGACUUUGCCUCUAUCUCGUUGUAAAAUUUCUUCGAGCUUUUCUUUGACAAAUAUUUUCAUAUGAAUGGUAUUAUAGUCCUUUUAUUCUAUUGUGCUAAUCACUUGGUUUCUUUGGGUUAUGGGAUUUCCCACUUAGUUAUAUAAUAAUUAUUACCAAAAUAAUAAUCUCAUAAAAUAUGAGAUUUAUUAUAACAAACUUUAUGACAUAGGAAUAUUAUAUUUUUAUACCAAUUUUAUUGCUAUUUAUAUUCUUUAAAUUUUUAAAUAAAAAAUCAUGUGUUUAAAUAUAUUUGGAUUCAAUUUUUUAUUAUUGUAAUAACAAAAAAAUUAAUUAAAGUAAUACUUAGUUAGCGAUAUAGUACAAUUAUCUUCAUAGGAGAGUGCAUAAUCAAAAAGAUUCUAACAUUUUAUCCUCUUUUCGUGCUGCUUGAAUCUCCAAAAACGGUGGCCCACUUCAACAAACCUUUUGUCUCCCUUAAUUAUGAACAAUUCUAAGUGUUUGCCAAUUAUUAUUAUGGACUCAUUCUUUAAUGUAAGUUAUAUAUUAGUCUUGAUAUAUAAAGCCUAAAAAAGAUAAAGAACAAAUUUCUUGGAGCUUUCCUCUGGCAAAUAUUUUAAUUAUGAAUGCCAUUCUAUUGUGCUAAUUACAGUUUAAUUUCGGUCCUUAAAAAAAAGGUUUUUUUUUUAAAUUUCAGUCCGGCCUCUUUGUGAAAUUCCUUGGAGCUUUCCUUUGGCAAAUAUUUUCAUAUGAAUGGCAUUAUAGUGCUUUUCUUCUGUUGUGCUAACCACUUGGUUUCUUUGGGUUAUGGGAUUAUAAACAUUUCUAAGUGCUUGCCAAUUAUUAUUAUGAAGUCAUUCUUUAAUAUAAGUUAUAUAUUAGUCUUGAUAUAAGGUUAAGGAGGAGUUACGUGUAGUUCUAGGUAUUAUAUCAAAUUUUCUCAGAAUAUUUUUUAACAUUUGUAUAAUUAAAUAUUCAAGUUUAUGUGAUAUAAAUUAUAUAAUAUAUAAAAAUACAUUAUAAAAGUAUAAAUCAAUCUAGGUUUGGGCUAGAGGUAAUCGUGGGUUGGGCCUCAAUAUGAUAUUAACAUACUUUAUACUUGUCCAAACCCACCCAUAUUUUCCAAAGAAUAAUCCAAGUCCGUUUAGGCCCGUCUAUAUUAUUUUUUAAUUUUUUUAAAAAUAUUUAUAUUAUACUAUUUUAAUAUUUAAUAAGUUGCAUAUUUUUUAUUUAUUAAAUUUUUUAUAUAGUCCUCUUAACAUUAUUUUAUUGCUUACAUUAAGCCAGUAUUAUAUAUUUACGAAAGAUUAACUCAAGCCCUUUUAGGCCGCCCAUAUUAUUUUUUCAAAUUUUUUAAAAAUAUUUAUUUUAUUUUAAUAUCUAAUGCUCUCUAGUGUUCGUUCUGAUGAUUGGUGGUAUUAACGUUGGAUUUUGGUUUCAUUUAUUAAGUAAAAUAAACAAAACUCACAAUAUUUAGAGGUUCAUGAUUGGAUUUCUCUCCGAUUUGUAUCAAGAAUUUUGACCUUAAAAUAUAAAAAUUCGAUCUAAUCCCUCUAUCUGAACUGCGAUCCGACAAAUUCCCAAUCAACUUGGUCAUUUGAAUUCUUUCAAUAACCUUUGGGAUAAUGUUUAAAACCUUACAUAUUUCUAAUUAACAUCAUACACUUUCUAACACUAAUCAUAUCUUUUUAAUAAUAUUUUAACUUUAAUUAGUGUUGAUUAAUUAAAUAAAUUUGAAGCUAAAAAUCAAACAAAAUUAAUGAACAAUAAUAGUAAAACAAGGCUUAUGGAUUUGGUUUUGUUCGUGGAACUAAAUUUAUGAUUUUAGAGAAAGGGUUAAAUAAAGAUUGAGGGCUAAAAAGGUUUAGGAUUAUAGAGUCAAGGGUUUUGUUUGUUGAAUAAAACAUUGUGUGCAUUUUGAGUUUUUAUUCAUUUCACCACUUUAAAAAAAAUUAUUUAAAUGAAAGAUUGUUUAUCUAUUUAUGCAUGGAUAUUGGUUACACAUGAAAGGAGAAAUCUUAUUAGAAUUUAUAAUUUAAAUUAAGUUGGCCUUCUAAAAUUUUCUUAGACCAUUAUUAGUGAAUUAAAUAAACCUAAUUGGCUCAUAUAAAUAAUUUGAACCAUCGUGCAGUGCCAUGAGACAAGAAUCUACUUAGUCUAAAUGUUGUAUUAAUUAACCAUUAAUGAAUAUUAAUGGUAAAAAGCCAAGAUGUAAGUCCUUAUCAUAAUAAAGAUAAAAGAAAAUUACUUUGGCACCACCUCUCAUUAAUUCAUAAUAUAUAUUUGUGUGAAUGUUUAUUAAUCUUCACAAAGGAUGGUCUUCUUUAAUUAUGAACAAUUCUAAGUGCUUGUCAAUUCUUAUUAUGAAGUCAUUCUUUAGUAUCUUUUCUGCAGUCAUCGUAUCAAGCGACUUCCAGGAAACCGAUGAAGAAACAGUGGAUAAUUGAUGGAAGAGAGUAAUGACAAUAAUCCCACCACAAUCAAGUGUUAGAAUUGAAUAAUAUAAUUCAACUAUACAAAUCUCAUAUUGUUAAAGUGAAAUUUUGAGAUUCUUGUCUAUAAGUCAUUAUACUUCAUUAAGUUAACAAAUUAAAUUUAGACCGUGAACUUGUGGCCUACAAGGCUAAUGCAAUUUACAUCCAAGUCCUUUUUGUUUUUAAAAUUACUUUUUACUGAAUGUUUUAGAAAACUUCUUAACCUGUAAAAAUAUUUUAAUCGACUGAAGCUAUUUUCAGUUGAGUUCAUUUUAACCUUUUUCAAACUAUUUUUAGCUAAUUCAAUCGACUUACCUAUGUUAUAGUUAACCAGUGAAAUUUUUAUAAAUACUCCUUCAAAGUUCCCAAUUUAUUCUUUACAUUCUCUUUCAAAAACUCCUUGUUUACUCAAAAGCUCUCUUCUACAAUUUUAACCGAAUAUUUAUUUGAUUUGUUUUUCCUACCAAUUAAUAGAAUUGUUUGUUGAAUUCUAGAGAAUACGUAAAUUCACGAAAUAUUUGUAAGGACUGUUGACAACAUUUUUUUUGAUGAAAAACGGGGUCCAAUUGGGUUUUGAAAACGAAAAAGGGAGUCGCCACCAAUCCUUUUUUGAGGUGUGAUUGGGUCACCUUGGAAAGAGGUUGUUUCUAAUAAAUAAUUUAAUUUUAUUAAAACAACGGUUUUGGUCAACGGAAUCUAGAAAACGGGUUCGGGAGUCGGUUACGUACGAGGAAGGGUUAGCACCCUCGUAACGCCCAGAAAUUGGUACCUAGUUAAUUAUCUAAUGUCUUGAUGUCGAGAACUGAAAACUUGAAAAAUUUUUAAAAUACGAUCCCUUGGUAUUAAACAUUAAAAAUUUGGGAAAAGAAGCAUAUUUUAUGUUAAUCGAGAAAAAGAAUCGUAUCCAGUAAGUUAGGACACAAUAUCUCGAAUUCCCAAUAUACAAAAAAAUGCUUAUUUAAAAGGUAUUUUUAGCUAUCUCGGAUUCGAAAGUGAGGUCACAACCAGUAAGUUAGGAUGCGAUUCUUUUUAAAUCCCUAGAUCAUUUAAAACUUGAGUUUGAAAGAUUCGUGUAUUUAGAUUUAUUGUGAAAAUCGAAACCCAGUAAGUUAGGGUACGGCAUUCUCAAAUCUAAACACGAGAUUUUGCUUAUUCAAAAAUUGUAAUUUUAUGUAUUGAAAUGAAUUAAUCUAACAUGAAAUUAUAAAACCCGAUGUUAAUACUCAUAACAAGACGAUAUUGAAUACAAUAGUGCAAAAUAAUACGAACAAUUGCAACGUAAAUAAGAUAAAUACAAAGUAUGAAUCAAUAACAUACGAAAUAGCAAUGUAUACAAGCAAAUAAAAUUAAAGCAUUCAUUCAGAUCAAUAACGCAAAUGAAAUAAAUAACUAAAUGAAUACGAAUAUAAAAAGUAAAAAGAUAUAUGUGUGUGCAUAAAAUUAUGAGAAUGUAAAAAAUCUAUGUACGUAAAAAUAUGUGUAAAUAUNNNNNNNNNNNNNNNNNNNNNNNNNNNNNNNNNNNNNNNNNNNNNNNNNNNNNNNNNNNNNNNNNNNNNNNNNNNNNNNNNNNNNNNNNNNNNNNNNNNNNNNNNNNNNNNNNNNNNNNNNNNNNNNNNNNNNNNNNNNNNNNNNNNNNNNNNNNNNNNNNNNNNNNNNNNNNNNNNNNNNNNNNNNNNNNNNNNNNNNNNNNNNNUAUAUAUAUAUAUAUAUAGACAUGCGGCUAUAUACAAUAAAAAUAAUAAAAGAUAAAUAUGUAUAGGUAUUCAUAAAAAUAAAAUAUGUGUAUUCGUAUAUUAAAGUAUAAAGUAUAAAUAAUAUAUAUCUAAGUAGAUAUACAUAUGUAAGUAAACUUGGAAAGUUAUGCGUACACAUACUAUGACAAUAUGAAUGUAUAUGUAUAAAUUAUAGAAUGUAUUAAAGCGUAAGUAUGUAAAUAGGUAUGUACACAUAUAUCAUAAUCAAAAAACAGUAUAAAUGGGUAAACAAUAAAGGCAAAUAAUAAAAAUAAAAGCAAUAAUGAUAAUAAUAAUAAUAAUAAUGGUAAUAAAACUAAUUACUUUUAAAAAAAAUAAAACGGGACUAAAUAAAAAAAAAAGCAAAAUCCCAGGGGAGAAAAGUAAAAAGAAAAAAACUAAAACAGGGACCAGAUUGGAGGGAAGCCCAGAAGCAGGAGGACUGAAAGGGUAAAUAGACCCUCAGUCCAAAACACGCGGAUCCCUGGGAUCCAUCGGGUCAACGAGCGGGUCGCGCUCAAUACGGCGCCGUUUUGGAGCCAUUGAUCAGACUCCAAACGGCGUCGUUUCAGACAACACCUAAGGCCCAAGAAAUACCUUAAUCUGAUAGCCUCCAUUCAUUUUUUAAACAAACAAAGAAAAAGAAAAUAAAAAAACAAAAAAGGAAAACUGAGAGCCCGAAUGCUCUCCUCCCCACGCCUCUCUCGGCCCUUAAGCUCAGGCCGCCAUCUCCGCCUCCAUGGCCAAUGGCCGGAGUUGCGCGAGAACGGCCCCUAGGCCUCCCCCAUUUGCGGCGUCCCCGAAGGCUAAGCCUUCUCAACCGCGAGAUCAAAAGGAAAAGGGAUGAAAUGCCCCUUUUGGCUAGUCUCCGACGACGGCAAGGGUGGGGUUCCGACACCAGCCCGUCGAAGCGGUAAGGUAUUUACUCCUUUCCCUUUUAGUUCAUUUUCUUUGUUGAACGAUUGCGAAGGGAAAAAAAUAAUAAACAAUAAAUAAAGAGUAAAGUAAAUAAGAAACAAGAACAGAGAAGAAUAAACUGGAGUCAACCUUUUUGAUCUGUUUUUCCUUUUUUUGAAUUCAAAACGCUGUGUAAAAAAUUGUACAGAGAUAUUGUUUGGCUUUUAUAGCCUUUUCCAUUGUAUUUUGAUUGUAUUUUGCUGUCUUGCACUAUCUGUUGCGUGCUCCUGCUUUUUUCUAUCAUUUUUUUGCAGGCGUUGAUGAAGCUAGUAGCGGCGGGUGGCGAUGGGACAAAACGAAUGAUGAUGGCAGAGGGAUGGGCGCGGUGCUAGGCUUGGCUAGGGUUUCCGUUUUCUGAAACCCUUGACUGGGUUCUGGGCCUGUUGGGUUUAUUGGGCCGUUUGGGCUCUGUUAAUUGGCCCCGGGCAAUAAUUGGGUUGUACAGCUGCCCCUCUUUGCUCGUUGUCGUGUAACAAUAACAGAGCAAAGACUAAGAAAGACCAAUUUUUGCCCAGUCUUGCCGAGGAAAAGAUUCUCCGUUGCGGCUUCAAUCUGUUCCGCUGCGUCGCCUGGAAGUAAGAUUCGCCGUUGUGGCUUCGAUCUUUUAAAUUGCAAUGUCGGCUUGAAUCUCAAAAAACGGUGGCCCACUUCAACAAACCUUUUGUCUCCCUUAAUUAUGAACAAUUCUAAGUGUUUGCCAAUUAUUAUUAUGGACUCAUUCUUUAAUGUAAGUUAUAUAUUAGUCUUGAUAUAUAAAGCCUAAAAAAGAUAAAGAACAAAUUUCUUGGAGCUUUCCUCUGGCAAAUAUUUUAAUUAUGAAUGCCAUUCUAUUGUGCUAAUUACAGUUUAAUUUCGGUCCUUAAAAAAAAGGUUUUUUUUUUAAAUUUCAGUCCGGCCUCUUUGUGAAAUUCCUUGGAGCUUUCCUUUGGCAAAUAUUUUCAUAUGAAUGGCAUUAUAGUGCUUUUCUUCUGUUGUGCUAACCACUUGGUUUCUUUGGGUUAUGGGAUUAUAAACAUUUCUAAGUGCUUGCCAAUUAUUAUUAUGAAGUCAUUCUUUAAUAUAAGUUAUAUAUUAGUCUUGAUAUAAGGUUAAGGAGGAGUUACGUGUAGUUCUAGGUAUUAUAUCAAAUUUUCUCAGAAUAUUUUUUAAUGGAGGGCGUUGGAUUGAAGAUGGUGGAAGGAUUUUAAACUCUCUGGCUGAUGGGUUCCAAUGGCAGCCUUAUCCUUUGAAGGAUCAAGUAAACAUAAUAAUCCAUGACAAGCACCAUAAACAGAGGGGAGAUCAUUCUUAAAAAAGGGCAAGUGAAUGUUUUGUUUUACUAUAUAAUUUUGAUCUUUUUCAUUUGAAAGUUGAGAGUAAUAAAGUUAGAAGGCGUUACCAUCAAGGCGACUAAGAAGUAGAUUAAGGUUGUUGUUUUCAAGGUUAUUGGAAAUGAAAUGAGGAGUUUGAAUAGAAGAACACCAAUACUUACAAACACAGUUGAAGCGAGUAAGGGAUUUAACUGGAAGCUUUGACAGAAUUUCAAUAACCAAAGCUUCUGGCAAUUCAAACCUUGGCCUCUGCAUCUUGCUAUUUUGUUGGUGUUAAGAGGCAAUAGCAAGCUGGUUUCAGCUUGCUUGGACAGCAAGUGUCGAGCCUUGCUGAAGAAACAAACUCAAAAAGAAACAGAAAUCAAGCUUGCAAGUGGAAAAACAGAAAAACGAGAGAGAGUUUGAAUGAAAAACAAACUGAAAGUUUUUCAUUAACAUUAAACAAGGCAUUGAGCCAUUACAUAUAUUAGCUAACAUGUAAUACAAACAAGUAAUUGCCUAAUCAACUACCUAACUCCACUAAUCUGUCUUGAAACUUACAAAAAUAGCUUCAUCAUAUUGCUAUGUUGAUUUUCAAUCAAUCAACAUCAAAAUUACAUCAAAACAUUUAUCUACUUAGUUCAACAUGAACUAGAUUACAAAAUAAUUAAAAUUCAACUAAAACACAACAAUUAAUUUGGCAACUUCAAGCUCCAGCUUCUGCACAUCAUGGCUCGACUGCUUGUUGCCAUUUCUUCUUGUAUGGCCACCUUUGCAUAGGAACUAAUCUCAACACUCCUCCUUAGUUGCCAUGUUAGUGACACCUAGUUCCUUCUUCAACUUUAUAAACCUUGACACAUUUAAAGCUUUGGUAAAAAUGUCAGCAAUUUGCUCCUCCGAAUUGCAAUGAACCAGCUCGAUUUCAUGAGCUUGUUCCAUCUCUCUUAUAACAUGUAGUUUGAUGUUAAAGUGCUUCGUUCUGCCAUGAAAGAUGGGAUUCUUUGCAAUUGCAACAGCAGAUUUGUUAUCACAGUAAAUCUCUGUUGCUUCUUCUUGGUUUUGGUUUAAAUCAGCCAAGAUUUUUCUAAGCCAUAUGGCUUGAUUCACAGCAGAUGCAGCAGCAACAUAUUCAACUUCUGCUGUUGAUUGUGCCACCAGACUCUGCUUCUUAGAACUCCAGCAAAACAUGCCUGAGCCAAGGCUAAAUGCAUAUCCAGAUGUGCUUCUCAUGUCAUCACAUGAUCCAGCCCAAUCACUAUCGACAUAGCCUAUUAACUUCAUGUUUUCAGCUCUUUUGAACAUCACACCAUGGUUAAUGGUGCCUUUGAUGUACCUCAGCACUCGUUUAGCUGCUUGAAAAUGCUGAUUGUUGCAGCAAUUCAUGCAUCUGGAUAGCACACUAACUGCAAACAUAAUAUCGGGCCUUGUUGCAGUCAAAUAUAGUAGACUACAAAUGAGACUUUUGUACAUAGUCUCACAAACUGGUUCACCAGUUUCCUGCCUCGAUAGCUUCAUUCCAACAACCAUUGGUGUGCUUGUUGGCUUGCAGUUCUUCAUUGAGAACUUGUUUAAAACUUUCAUAGCGAAGGAACUCUGGCUGAGAAAGAUUCCAGUUCCAUUUUGUUUUACUUCCAUUCCUAGGAAGUAGUUCAUUCUGCCUAAAUCAGACAUCUCGAACAUUUUCAUCAUUUUCUUCUUGAAAUCAUGCAUCAUAUUUUUGUCUCCUCCAGUUACUAACAAAUCAUCAACAUAGAGUGACAAGAUAAGUUGAGUCUCAGCUUAAUUUUUCUUCACAUGCAGUGUUGGUUCACUGGCACUUCUCUCGAAUUCCAAACUGAGCAAGUAGGAAUCAAUUCGAGCAUACCAGGCUCGAGGGGCCUGUUUCAGGCCGUACAAGGCCUUUUUCAAUCUGUAGACCAUGUGUUCUUUGCCAGUGACUACAAACCCUUGAGGUUGCUCAAUGUAAAUCUCUUCUUCUAGGAAGCCAUUGAGGAAUGCAGACUUCACAUCCAGCUGAUGAAUGGUCCACUGAUUUUGAGCAACCAAAGCAACUAUCAUUCUGACCGUGUCAAGUCUGGCUACUGGUGCAAAGGUUUCCAAGUAGUCCAGACCAUACCUUUGGCUAAAACCUUUGACAACAAGCCUGGCCUUCAGUUUGUUCAAACUGCCAUCUGCAUUUUGUUUUGCUCGAUAGACCCAUUUUACUCCAAUGGUCUUCUUUCCAGCUGGUUUAUCAACCAGCUCCCAUGUUUGAUUCUUUUGAAUCAUAUUGAUUUCAUCAAGCAUAGCUUGUUUCCAGCCUUCAUCUGCCUCAGCCUCUUCAAAACUGCUAGGUUCUGCUGUAGCAACCUGUGCCCUUUCAUAAAUCUCAUCUAGGGGCCUUGUGCCUCUCACAGGUACAUCAGCAACAUCCAACUCAGAACCAAGCUGCUCGAGUUCAGUUUGAUUAGGCACCAAGUCUUCUGAAACUGUUUCAGGCUCAUUUUUCUCUCAAUUCCAGCAAGCCUUUUCAUCAAAGAUAACAUCUCUGCUUACCUGAACUUUGCUUGUCAAGGGAUCCAGAAUCCUGUAGCCCUUCUUGACCGAGCUAUAGCCCACUAGGAUGCCAGGUUGGGAUCUCUUUGACAGCUUGUCCCUCUUUGCUGCUGGUAUUUGUGCAUAGCAUAGGCAACCAAACACCUUCAGAUGUGCCAAUGAAGGUUUGAAGCCAAACCAUGCCUCGAAAGGUGUCUUGGAUGCAAGAGCUUUGGUAGGAAGCCUAUUCUGAAGGUAAACAGCAGUGUUUACUGCCUCAGCCCACAUGGUCUUAGGCAGUUUCUUCUCAAACAGUAAGCAUCUUGCCAUAUCCAUUAGGCUUCUGUUCUUCCUUUCAGAUACCCCAUUCUGCUGAGGUGUGUACACAUUUGUUAGCUGGUGUUUAAUGCCAGCAUCAUUGCAAAUGGGUUGGAACUGAGUUGAAUUGUACUCAGUGCCAUUGUCUGACCUUAUCGAUUUCAGCUUGCAGCCUGUUUCUGUCUCUAUAGCAGUUUUAAACUUCACAAACACUUGAGCUACCUCAGACUUGUGUUUCAAGAAGAAAAUCCAGCAAAACCUUGUAAAAUCAUCAAUGAAGAGGAUGAAAUACUUGUUUUUGCUGAGUGAUUCAGUCCUCAUAGGUCCACAUACAUCAGAGUGCACCAGCUGCAAUCUUUCAGUGGCUCUCCAUGCUAAACUUGUAGGAAAUGGCAGUCUUGCCUGUUUUCCCAUCUGGCACACUUCACACACAUCAUCAUGCUCCAUUGAGCUGGUGAAGUUCUUUGCCAAUCCCUCUUUGGCCAAUCGAGCCAUUGAUCUGAAGUUGGCAUACCCGAGCCUUUGGUACCAAAUCUUGGAAUCAUCAACAGAGGCAGUGUAUGCUGACUUUGAGUUAUUUGGCCAAUGGACCUCAAAGCAUUUAUCAGUCAUUGUGACUGUCAUAAGGCUUGAUCCACUUAGAUCAGCAAUGUGGCACUGUUUGUCCUUGAACACAACAGAAUAACCUUUCUCAAGCAAUUGAGCUAUGCUGAGAAGGUUUCUGUCAAUUUCAGGUACCAGCAAGACAUUUGAGAUAACUUUGUUUCCUGUAGGAGUACAUAUCAGCACCUCUCCUCUUCCUUCAGCCCUUAUGAACUGACCAUUUCCAACCUUGACCUUGGUUUUGCAACUUCUAUCCAAGGUUUUAAAUAAGGAGGUAUCUGGUGACAUGUGGUUAGUACAACCACUGUCCAAUAACCAGCCUUUUGAACUUUUCUUUUCAGCAGCUAAGCAAGAAACAGCAAAGACCUGCUCUUCUUGAUCACUACUGUCCUCAGCCACUCGAGCUUCAACCUUUGGCUGCUGAAAUUGAUUCUGCCUUGGCUUAUUCCUGUUUUUACAGACCCUUUCAACAUGGCCCUUCUUCUUGCAGUGUUGGCACACAGCAUCUGGCCUAAACCAGCAUCUAUCUUCUGGAUGUCUUGACCUCUUGCAAUAUCUGCAGGGCUGGUCAUUGCUCCUUGCAGCAUCAGGCUUAGGCCUACUUUUCCAAGGCUUUUUGCCUCUUUGAGCAUUUACGCUUGAGGCUUCUCUGGCUUUGGCUUGAAAUGCACCUUCUUGGUGAUCUUCAGCUCUGCUAGCUCUCCUUUGUUCCUGAGCAUAAAAGGUGUUAAUUAGCUCAGUCAAAGAGAUGCUAGCAAGAUCUCUUGAGUCCUCUAAGGAGGAUAUCUUUGCCUCAUAUCUCUCAGGCAAAGUGGAGAGGACUUUCUCCACAAUUCUUGCCUCAUCAAAGUGCUCACCAAGGAGCCUUAUGCUGUUAACCACUGCCAUGAUUCUAUCUGCAUACUGCUUCACUAUUUCUUCUUCCUUCAUCUUCAGAUUCUCGAAAUCCCUUCUCAAAUUCAAUAGCUGCUGUUGCCUUGUCCUCUCAGUGCCUUGAAACUCCUCCUUAAGCUUGUCCCAGGCCUGUUUUGGAGUCUCACAGGCCAUAAUUCUGGUGAAGAUGACAUCUGACACACAGUUCUGGAUGCAAGACAUGGCUUUGUGCCUCUUGGUCCUCUCAUCAGCAUGUUGUCUGAUCUGAGCUACUGUGGGAUUAGCCCUCAGUGGUGCUGGCUCAGCAUCUGUGUUGACAACUUCCCACAGAUCAAAAGCCUGCAGGUAAGUCUUCAUCUUUACCAGCCAUAUAUGAAAGCCUUCUCCAUUAAAGACUGGUGGGGCUGCUGGUGAAAAUCCUGAAGAAGCCAUCAGGUUCCUUGACUUUAAGUAACAGGUCCACUAAGACAAGAGCUCUAGAUACCAAUUUGUUGGUGUUAAGAGGCAACAGCAAGCUGGUUUUAGCUUGCUUGGACAGCAAGUGUCGAGCCUUGCUGAAGAAACAAACUCGAAAAGAAACAGAAAUCAAGCUUGCAAGUGGAAAAACAGAAAAAGGAGAGAGUUUGAAUGAAAAACAAACUGAAAGUUUUUCAUUAACAUUAAACAAGGCAUUGAGCCAUUACAUAUACUAGCUAACAUGUAAUACAAACAAGUAAUUACCUAAUCAACUACCUAACUCCACUAAUCUGUCUUGAAACUUACAAAAAUAGCUUCAUCAUAUUGCUAUGCUGAUUUUCAAUCAAUCAACACAAAAGUACAUCAAAACAUUUAUCUACUUAGUUCAACAUGAACUAGAUUACAAAAUAAUUAAAAUUCAACUAAAACACAACAAGUAAUUUGGCAACUUCAAGCUCCAGCUUCUGCACAUCAUGGCUCGACUGCUUGCUGCCAUUUCUUCUUGCAUGGCCACCUUUGCAUGGGAACUAAUCUCAACAUAUUUUGAUUUUCUUUGUAAUUGACUAAGAGGAAUAAAUAAGCAAGCAAAAGGGGAGUUGGUAGGUGUCAUCUAUGGUCGAAACCUUAACCAUGAAGCAAACAUAAAAGGUAAGCAUUUGAUACAUUAUAAUAAUUAUAUGCAAUUUAGGAAAUUUCCUUAUUUGCUCAUUUGUAUCCAUGUGAAGAAUGAUUAAGAUUGAAUAUAAUCUAAUAUAUACCUUUUGAAUUUUAUCCCCAAUUUUUAAAAGAAUAAAUUUAAAGAAUACAAUACGCUCAACAUUUAUGUACUUUUUGUAUAUUUAAAAUUUAAUCCCUAAUUUUUUAUUUUUAAAAAUUUAGUCUCUUUAUUUUUAAAUUUUAGAAAUUUAGGAUCGUUAAAAUUAUUUGACAUAAUUGUUGAAAAUACCUUCCAUGUUUAUGAGUUUUUGUGUUUGAGCCAUUAACCUUCUUUUUUUAUUGACACCCUCAACAUUACAAUUUGUUUAGAAAUCAACCUAAUUUUCACGGGAUACAAGAGUUGAUCGUCAGUCAAACAAAAGGUUAACGAAGUAGCCUAUGUGGCGUGUCAUAUAUGCACGAGAUCAUAGAUGAUGGCAUCUAUAAAAACAAAAUUGUUUAAAAAAAAUUUUUUAUUUUGUUUCAAUAUUCUUUAUUCUUCUCCUCUUUCUCUCUUCCCCUCUAGCUCCUGUCAUCGUCGUGUCCAAACCCUUCCACCGUUGCCUUCCCUCUCACUCCUAACCGUUGUUCUCACCAAAAAUGUUAGAAGAAAUGUUAGAAGAGAUACUAAUAUAUAUAGAAUUUAUCUGAAUUCAUCCCUCAAAGUCAGAAAAAAAAAUACAUCUUCAAUCACCAGCAAUAUCAUACAAUCAUUAAAAUCCAAAACACCAACUAAAAAAAAAACUAGCUUUCAUCCUAUUGACAAAUUUUGAAGAACAUGUAGAAAACUCAAAAUAAACCUUACCAUUAACAAUCCACAAAGAUCAUAAACAAAGCAACACAACAAAGACAUUAAACUGGGGAUAAAAAAAAAAAAAAGGUACUGACUUUAUCCAUGGAAAAAAAGGGCCAACCCAUUUGAGAAAAACAUCAACCAAUAAUCCUAGAAAGGUAAGUAAAAUUCCCAACUUGAUUCAGUACCAAAUAGACCUUCUCGAUUGAGAACAAAAACCUGGCUCCUUUAGCAAAGAAUUAUUCUCUUCCGCUUCACAUUAUUCUAAUAAUCUCUGUCUCAAACUUACCCUUUUCUCAUUAACAUCAUCAUCACCUUCAACUCAUAAUUUUAGCUCCGGCAUCACUUCUCCUCCCUCAUCAUCAUUUUUAUCAUCAUUGAAAGUCAUUGAAUUUUUAGAACAAGAACCCAAAUUUCACCUGAGAAAAUUAGAGAAGGUGAAGCAAUAAAUGGAUAGAUGAAUUGAAAAACAAAGAAGGAUAUCAAAUAUACCGAAAGAAACCAAACCUAAACCAAACAAAGCGAGUUUGAUUUUUCUAGUUUUUUUAAAUUUAAAAGAAAACCAAAACCCUAAAAUGGGUUACAACAGUGAGUCUCUUUUUGCUUUUUCUUUAUUCUUUUUGGUUGUAUAGAAUUUUGGGUGUUUGACGAAAUUGUCUUUUGUAAGGCUAGCAGAGAUGAACUAGACGUUGAUGAUGAUGAUGAGGAGGAGGAUGGAGAUGGAGAAGAUUUUGGGACAUUUAUGGUAAGAUCGAGGUGAGGUGUGAGAGGGAAGGCGACAGUGGUGGGGGUUGUCUAGCCACAUAGGCUACUUUGUUGACAUGUGGUUUGAUUGACUGUCAACUCAUGUUUCUCACUAAAAUUUGGUUAAUUUCUAAAAAAAUCGUAACGUUGAUAAUGUCAAUUCAAAAAAAAAAGAAGGUUAAAAGCCCAAACCCAAAAACCUAUAAAUGUUGAGGGUAUUUUCGACAAUUAUGCCAAAUUCUUUUGUUAAAUUUGUCGGUUUGAUAUUCUAAAUUUCUUUUUUUUUUUAAAAAACCAUACUCCAUAAUCAUAUUACCGAAAAUGGCAUUAUAAUGGACUUGAAGCUAACAAAAAAAUUUAACGAUGUUAACGCUUCUUUAAACUUACGUCAAAAUUUUAAUUAGAAUAAAAUAUUUAGUCAACGUUGAAGCACCAAACUAUAAAAGAAGUAUAAAGGCUAAAUCUCGAAUUUUAACAUAGUAUAGAGACCAAAUUUGAAAUUUAACUAUUUUUAUCCAUGUGAGCAUUUGAUAGGUUAUAAUAAUUAUAUGCAAUUUAGGAAAAUUUCCUUAUUUGCAUUUGUAUCCAUGUGAGGAAGGAUUAAGAUCAAAUAUAAUAUAAUACAUACUUUUUGAAUUUAAUCCCUGAUUUUUAAAAGAUUAAAUUUAAAGGAUAUCACAUUUAUGUACUUUUGUAUAUUUGAAAUUUAAUACUUAAUUUUUAUUUUUAAGAAUUCAAUCUCUCUAUUUUUUUAAAAUUAUAAAUUUUGGUAUGGUUAACACCGUUAAAAUUGUUAAAAUUCUUUGGCAUAAUUGUCGAAAAUACUCUCAAUGUUUAUGGGUUUUUGGGUUGAGCUCUUAAAUUAUUUUUUUUUUGGAUUGACACCCUCAAUGUUACGAUUUUUCAUAAAUCAAUCCAAUUUUAACAGGAAACAUGAGUUAACCGUUAGUCAAAUCGCAAGUCAAUGAAGUAGCCUAUGUGGCUUGCCACAUAAGCAUGAGGUCAUAGAUGAAGUCAUUUAUAAAAAUAAAAUUGUUUAACAAAUUUUUUUUCAUUUUGUUUCAAUCUUCUUUUCUCUUCUUCUCUUUCUCUCUUCCCCUCUAGCUGUUGUCGCCGUUGUGUCCAACCCUAUCGUCGCCUUCCCUCUCACUCCUCACCAACCCAACCCCCACCACCUCUCACUUCCCUCUCACUCCUCACCGUUGAUCUCAUUGGCAUCUCUUCUAACAUUUGUGGUGAGAUCGACAGUGAAGAGUGAGAGGGAAGGCGGCGGCGGUGGGGGUUGGACACAACGGCAACAGUAGCUAGAGGGGAAAAUAUAAAGAGGAGAAGAAAUAAAUUGAAACAAAAUGAAAAAAAAUGUUAAACAAUUUUGUUUAUAGAUGACAUCAUCUAUGAACUCGUGCUUAUGGGGCACGCCACAUAGGCUACUUCGUUGAUCUGUGGUUUGACCGACUGUCAACUCACAUUUUCCGUUAAAAUUGGGCUGACUUAUUAAAAAAUCGUAACGUUAAGGGUGUCAAUCCAAAAAAAAAAAAAGGUUAAUGGCUCAAACCCAAAAACUCAAAAAUAUUGAGGUUUUUUCGACAAUUAUGCCAAAUUCUUUGUUAAAUUUGUUGGUUUGAUAUCCUAAAAUUUUUUUUAAAAAAAAAGUACUUACUCCAUAAUCAUGUCACAGAAAAUGGCAUUAUAAUGGACUUGAAGCUAAUAAGAAAAUAUUAAAGAUGUUAACACUUAUUUAAAUUUACGUAAAAAAUUAAUUAGAAUAAAAUAUUUAGACUAAAUAAUGACAUUAUAAACAUUGAAGCACCAAAUUAUAAAAAAGUAUAAAGUCCAAAUCUCAAAUUUUAACAUAGUACAAAGACCAAAACUGAAAUUUAAAUAAUCAUACAAUUACUUUCUUUUUUGUUGCAUAUCAUUUCCAAAUACAUAAAACGAUCCAUAUUCAACUAUAACAUAUUGUACACCAAAAAAUAAUUUUGAAAUCAAACAAUUGAAGAAAAAGAGUUAGCUGGAUGCUACAGAACAGUAGUCAAUGUCUGUCAGUUUGACUUUGGCUUGCGCUGCAUGAUUCUAGCUUGUUAUGAAUGCUUAAACUAUGGGUCACUUUCAUAAGACUUUUUCUCUAAUUCCAUGUCCAUUGUAAUUGCUGAAAUUCAUCUUCAUUUUUAGCUACUUGUUAGUGUAUAAAUUGUAGAAAAAUGUCUUCGUUUAAGUUCGAAUUGUUGUAAACUGUCCCUUAAAAAUCUUUAAUACGCAUUGAAGAAAUGAAAACUCGAAUGAAAUACAUGCAUGUUAUCGUGUUUGUUGUGAGUAUGAUCAUUGCAGGGUUCAAUGGAGUCGAUGCAAUGAGUAAAUAUUACAGUCACUGCGGGAAACAUGACAUCGAAAAGGAGGCUCAAAAUCUGUUCCCAUGUUAUGAGAUUAGUUAACGGGAAACAUGAGUUAACCGUUAGUCAAAUCGCAAGUUUCUUAUUUAAAUAAGAAACAUGUCCUAAACAUGGUAUAUCACCACUCAAUAAGAAACCGAUUGGAAGUAUGACAGAGGAUGUUGUGCAAAGUCGGAACAUGUCCUAAGCUGUAUGUUGUACAAACUCUGAACCUGUCAAUACCAAGUCCGGCCAUAGUGUGGGCAAUUGGUUCCAAAGAGCUAUAUCACCACUCAACAAUUGCUUUUAAAUAAGAAACAAAAAAAUUGAUUAGAUUACAGAUAAAUUACUUAAUAGUUUCAAGUGAAGAAUGUAUAUGCGUACUUGGAGUCGUGGCCGGGUUAGAAUAGGUUGUGGAUGGGUGCAAGGCUUCCUUGCAUUGUAUGGGGGCACCGGCAUGUCAUGAGCGUCUUGCGCCCAAAUUCCAUGUAUUUUGAAUUCAGUUGGGAUUGGGAGUUUACAGUUGAAAGUAGAGCUGCAAACAGAGGAGGCCACUGCAGUGCCAACUUAUAGAAGUCUACCACUGGAAUUACUGGCGGCUGGGGUACUGCAAAUGCUACCCAUAAUGAAAAAUGAUACAAUGCAUUUUUACAAAUUUACAAAUCAAAAGAGAACUACUCCAUAUAUAGAUCUUACAUGCAUAGAUGGUCGGGCUGAGAUUGGAUGAUUGUGCUUUGCAAGCAGCUGGUUUAUGAUCUCCUUUAUAAGCUUGGCACACAUAUUUCACGAAAUUUUCAAAGUCCUGCAACCAUGAAAUAAAUGUUGAAGUUACUUGUCACAAAAUGUUACUUCACAGUCACACCAAGAGGGAGAAAUAAACAAACUCACUUGUCUGAGUGGCUGAUUAUUCACCACCACCCAUGGCACAUAUUCUUGAGGUGGCUUCAGAUGUGCAGUCUCGUUAGCAUAUUGCAGCAGAAGCUGCAUUUUAUUAACUUGGAAAUUCAAUGUUAGAAAAAGCUAAGGAGAAGUGUUAAUUAAAUACUAAUACAUGCAGCCAACCUUAUAUCCAAAUCCAGUAGUAUAGCAUUGGUUGAUUAUCACCUCAUUCAAUCUCAGCUUUUCACUGCAAUUUUUCCACAGUGCUUCAACGGGCCACCCCUUUAAGCUUUGUUGCUCUGUGCAGCCAAUGAAUUCCAAGUGUUCUUUCUGCUACAAAGUAGAGUAAGUAAACACGAGUUGGAGACGAGUACAAAUACUUAUGGCUAAUAGAAGUUACCACAUCAGGCCAGAAAUGGAUGACACAACUAUGUAUAGUGUUUAAGUGGCAUUCUUCUUCUCCAUGCUGGACAUUGUUGCAUAAACUAUAAUUAGUUACAGUAGAAGAAAGAAAUUGAACUUCAUUAGUUAAUAAUGAAAAUAUAUUAAAAUGAAGAAUGGAGUUGUAAACCUGGCAAUGGAUUUCAGCAUUGCUCCAAGGGACCAAUCUUAGAUUGAUAAUGGUAUGGAGGUCAGUGUGGAAGACCUUGACGAGGUCGUUGGAGAUAAAGGAGGCACAACGUGGACAUAAACUUGUUUCAUAGUACAGUGACACAGUAACCCUGUCAUUAACAUUAUCUAAAGAGGAAUGGGAGGGAGAAAUAAGCCAAAAUAUUGCAAGAGCAGACAGAAUAUAGAAGAUCAGUGGUUGAAGAUAAGCCAUUGUUUUAGUGGUAGCUUCUGCACAAUGCUGAACCUCCAUUAUGCAAUGUUUUUUAUAGUUGAGAAAGGGGAUGAUGGCUAUUGUUUUCUAUCACUUUCAGAAACCAUGUGACGUUAUCACUUUCAGAAACCACUUUAAAAAAUUAUUUACAUGAAGAUUGUUUAUUUAUGUAUAUGGUUCUUGCUUUUUCUAAUUUUACUUUGGAAAUUACAAAAAUAAUCAACAUUGUAGUUAUAUCUAAUACUAGUUUCAAUCACAUGUAAUAAGUUCCACGUUAAUAAAAUAAGUCCUUAAUUUUUCUUAACAUGGCUUUCGAUGUGUCUGUUUCAAUAUGUAUAAAUAUGGGGAAUCAACUUCACAAGUAAUUGCUUAUAAUGGUUUAUUGCUUAUAACAAUUGAUAUAUAUAUGUAUAUAUAUGAACUUAACCAAACAUCCUCAAAGUUGUUGGAAUUUUGGUUUCUUUAAAAUUUUAGUAGGGUUUAAAACUUGAUUAAGAGUAUGGUAAUUAAUGGUUAGAGGAGAAAAUGAAUUGAUUUGUUUUUAUAAGUACUGUUAGUCUUUCACAUGAAAUAGGGUAAGAAUCUCAAUUUAACAAAAAUGGAUUUGCUUUUAUCAAAGUCUCAAGAUUAUAAGGUAGCAUUGGUUGGCUGGUAUUUUCAUGCGUAAAAAUAUAUUCAUUUUUGUUAAAUUGUGAUUUUUCCUACACUUGUAUGUGAUUCACACUAGCAGGUAAAUUCUUUCGUUUGUUGAGUAAAUUAAAUUAUCAAAGGUGUUCAAAGUCAAAUAUUAACUUAAAUGUUGCAAUAAUUAAUGCAAAAGGGAGAUUAUGAGUGAUUGUUGGAGGUCAUACCAUAGGUAGAAAGGGAGGAAACAGUGGGACAACCAACAAAGCCAAGACUUGAUCCAUUUAUACUCAGCCAUUAAGAUGUAAUGUAGUAGUUUAUACUUCUGAUUUUGGUUUCUCAAGAAUUAGAUUUAUCCAUAAUCGAAUUGGAUUGAGAUUAUCUCAAGUUUUCCUAACGUAACCAAUGCCACAUUUAUUAAAAGUAUAUAAUCAUGUUUUAAAGUAGAAAAAAAUGAUUUUAUUCUUUGCAUCUUUGUUUUGAUUUGUAAGAAACUUGCAAGUAUAACUAUGCCAUUUUGGAAGGACAAUCAGAGUGCUUAUGGAGCAAAUCUUAACAAUAAAGCAAAGAAGCAUUUAAUACAUUAAUUUUAUUCUUGUAGUGACAGCGAUGUUUAAUUUUUAAGAGUUAUUAAAACUCUUUAUUUGCAACCCAAUGGUUAUCUGAAAUCGAAUUAAAUUUCUUUUUAUUUAAUAUACAAUUAAUUUUAAUUUUUUAUUAUAAAAAUAAAUAUUAUUUGUUUAAAAUAGUAUAAAUAACUUAAAAAUUCUUGUAAAAUCAUUAUUAUUAUUUUUUUGCAAAUAUUUAUUAAAAGGGCUUUCAAAUUUGUCAAAUAAUAUUAAAAAAAAGCAUAAAACAAAGUCAAUUUUGUUAAAAUAAGUCUAAAAAUCUAAAAUAAAACAUUAUUAUGAAAAAAUUAACAACUCUUCAUAAAUUCUAUUUAUGCCCCCAAAAAUGAUACAAAUUUGAUUUAUUCUCUAAAAAUUUAUAUAGAUAUAAGUUAUUAAAAUUGUGAAAUUGCAUCUUUACUAUCAUAAAAAUAUAUAAUUUUAUCCCCAAAAUAAAACUUUCCUAGCUUCACCCCUGAUCGACAAUGCUAAUAUAAGUUUGUUACAAAAGAUUGGCAUUAUAGUGGAAUUGGAGCUAACAAAAAAAAAAAUAACAAUGUUAAUGUUUCUUUAAAUUUAGGUCAGAAUUUUUAUUAGAAUAAAAUAUUAAGGGUAAAUUACACAUAAAAGUCCUAUUUUUUUAAAAUUUACCGAAAUGGGCCCGGUAUUUUAUUAUUUACCGGAAUGGGCCAUUUUCCCCGAAAUCGCCUCCACGUCAGCGCGAUGUCAGGGGAUGUGUCAGCAAAUCGCGUCCACAUCAGCGCGAUUACUUACGUGGCAACAAAUCGCGUCCACGUAAGCGCGAUUUGCUGACGUGGAAGCAAUAAUUCAUGAACAGUUUAUGUUUUUUAGCUUGGAAAACUUUGAAAGGCCAUAACUUUUGACUCGGUUAUCCGAUUGAGACGAUUCAUUAAAAUACAUUAACAUUACCUAAAGAGGAAUGGGAGGGAGAAAUAAGCCAAAAUAUUGCAAGAGCAGACAGAAUAUAGAAGAUCAGUGGUUGAAGAUAAGCCAUUGUUUUAGUGGUAGCUUCUGCACAAUGCUGAACCUCCAUUAUGCAAUGUUUUUUAUAGUUGAGAAAGGGGAUGAUGGCUAUUGUUUUCUAUCACUUUCAGAAACCAUGUGACGUUAUCACUUUCAGAAACCACUUUAAAAAAUUAUUUACAUGAAGAUUGUUUAUUUAUGUAUAUGGUUCUUGCUUUUUCUAAUUUUACUUUGGAAAUUACAAAAAUAAUCAACAUUGUAGUUAUAUCUAAUACUAGUUUCAAUCACAUGUAAUAAGUUCCACGUUAAUAAAAUAAGUCCUUAAUUUUUCUUAACAUGGCUUUCGAUGUGUCUGUUUCAAUCUUUAUAAAUAUGGCGAAUCAACUUCACAAGUAAUUACUUAUAACAAUUGAUAUAUAUGUUUAUAUAUGAACUUAACCAAACAUCGUCAAAGUUGUUGGAAUUUUGGUUUCUUUAAAAUUUUAGUAGGGUUUAAAUCUUGAUUAAGAGUAUGGUAAUUAAUGGUUAGAGGAGAAAAUGAAAUGAUUUGUUUUUAUAAGUACUGUUAGUCUUUCACAUGAAAUAGUGUAAGAAUCUCAAUUUAACAAAAAUGGAUUUGCUUUUAUCAAAGUCUCAAGAUUAUAAGGUAGCAUUGGUUGGCUGGUAUUUUCAUGCGUAAAAAUAUAUUCAUUUUUGUUAAAUUGUGAUUUUUCCUACACUUUUAUGUGACUCACGCUAGCAGGUAAAUUCUUUCGUUUGUUGAGUAAAUUAAAUUAUCAAAGGUGUUCAAAGUCAAAUAUUAACUUAGAUGUUGCAAUAAUCAAUGCAAAACAGAGAUUAUGAGUGAUUGUCGGAGAUCAUACCAUAGGUAGAAAGGGAGGAAACAGUGGGACAACCAACAAAGCCAAGACUUGAUCCAUUUAUCAAAUCCUUGCUAUCUCAACUCAGCCAUUAAGAUGUCAUGUAGUAGUUUAUACUUCUGAGUUUGGUUUCUCAAGAAUUAAAUUUAUUAUCAAAAUUAGAUUUAUCCAUAAUCGAAUUGGAUUGAGAUUAUCUAACGUAACCAAUGCCACAUUUAUUAAAAGUAUAUAAUCAUGUUUUAAAGUAGAAAAAAAUGAUUUUACAAAACACACAAGUUUUUAUAAGAGAAGAUUAGAAAGGAACAUAGCCUUUUGAAGUUGUAAUUUGUGAUGGGAAAGAAACGAUAAAACUUUGAUUUAAUUCUCUAAAAAUUAUAAAGAUAUAAGUUCCUGAAAUAGUAAAAUUGCAUUUUAACUAUCGUAAAAUUAUACAAUUUAAUCUCUCCAAAAUGAAAUUUUCCUAACUUCAUCCCUAAUUGACAAUACUAAUUUAAAUUUACUCCUAAGUCGUAUUUUAGAUCCGUCACUAUGCACACAAAAUUUUCAUCACCCAAGCUUCGGGUAGUUGAAAGCUCCUCCUUUGCAUCUUUGUUUUGAUUUGUAAGACACUUGCAAGUAUAACUAUGCCAUUUUGGAAGGACAAAACCUUAACAAUAAAGCAAAGAAGCAUUUAAUACAUUAAUUUUAUUCUUUUGGUUACAGCAAUGUUUAAUUUUUAAGAGUUAUUAAAAGUCUUUAUUUGCAACCCAAUGGUUAUCUGAAAUCGAAUUAAAUUUCUUUUUAUUUCAUAUAUAAUUAAUUUUAAUUUUUUAUUAUAGAAAUAAAUAUUAUUUGUUUAAAAUGGUAUAAAUAACGUAAAAAUUCUUGUAAAAUCAUUAAUUUUUUUGCAAAUAUUUAUUAAAAGGGCUUUCAAAUUUGUCAAAUAAUAUUAAAAAAAAGCAUAAAACAAAGUCAAUUUUGUUAAAAUAAGUCUAAAAAAUAUAAAAUAAAAAAUUAAUAUGAAAAAAUUAACAACUCUUCAUAAAUUCUAUUUAUGCUUAAAUAAGUCUAUUAGAAAGGGCAUGCCGUUUUAGCAAUGAAAAUAUAUUUUUAAAUAAUUUCAGAGUUUUUCUUCAAUUAUCUUAAAUUUUUACCCAUAUAUCAUAGGGGUUAUUAAGCUUUAUUGAAAACAAAUAUUUAGAUGGAUCUUAUAAACAUCCAUCUGUGACACUCAUAUACUUGUAUGGAUAUAAUUUUUUUUUUAAAUAUUCAUAUCAAUUAUUAAUUAUUUUUUAUAUCCUAUAAUUACUUCCUAAUUCAAUCUUAAUAUUCAAAGCAAUGGGUAUGAGGAGAAGCUUCGAGUUGAAAUUAAUACAAAAAAAGUAAAAGCAUAUACAGAAAAAAAAAUUCUAUUUAUGAAAAAUUUAACAUGUGGGUUGACUCAAUAGCUUUCAAAAAGCCAAACAAAAUUAAACUCUUGGUGGGAAAAAAGGGGGAAAAUAGAAAAUUGGAAGAAUAAAACCCCAAACUUUUAAAAGUAAAUACUUUUUUGGGAGGGAAAAGAUUUGAUUUUUUUUUUGUUCAAUUGCUAGAAUCUGGUUAGUGAGUUUCCCUUUUCUCUGUUUCCAAACUUUCAAUUAUUUAUCUAUUUAUGUAAGAAGGUUGCAGUUUAUAAGAAGUUAAUCCCAAAGCUUUGAUGGACAAAAGAAAACAUGUGUGAAACUAUCAAAGAUUCCAUUGACAGUAAACAAAAAUGGAUUUGCUUUCACGUAUCAACUUACCUAGCUACCAUAAUAUUAAUGCAAAUUCCUUUCUCAAACAAUGCUUUGAGUCUCAAAAUUAUAAUGUAGAAUUGGUUAGCUGGUAUCUUCAUGCAUCAAGAUAUCCUUAUUGGCAGGUUUAUCCAUGUGAAGAAGGAUUACGAUAAAAUAUUCUUAUUUGCAGGGCUAACCACUACCAAAUUUACUGGCAAAAAUAAAGUAGAUUAGUUUUUCAAGAAAAUCGGUCAAUUUUAAUUUUUAUGCAAAUCAUUGGACACCAUCAAUAAAAAUUAAUAAUUAUUUAAAGAGAUAUUGUCAUAUUUAUGAAAAGGGUUUUCAAAUUUAUCAAAUAAUAUUAAAAAAAAUGCACAAAACAAAGUUAAUUUUGUCAAAAUAAGUCUAAAAAUUCAAAACCAAAAAUUAAUAUGAAAAAAUCGAGAACCGAACUAUGAUGGACAGUUUAAAAACUCUAAAACCCCCGACUGUAUAGUAAUACUCUAUUUAUUUAUAGAGAGAAGAAGACGCACCUACGUAUUACUAAAAUAUUUGAAUUCAACAUUAUAAUCAUGUCACAAAAAAUAAAAUUAUAAUGGACUUGAAUUUAACAAAAAAUUUAACGAAGCUAACGCUCCUAUAAAUUUAUGUCAGAAUUUUAAUUAGAAUAAAAUAUUUAAACUAACUAAUGACAUUAUAAACGUUGAAGCACCAAACUAUAUAAAAAAGAUCAAAUAUAAAGUUUAAAUCUCAAAUUUUAACAUAGUAUAGAGACUAAAAUUGAAAUUUAUCUAUUAAUGUAUAAAGGUUGCACUUUACAAGCACUUAAGUGUUUGAUGAAAAGGAUAUAAAUUAAUUAUAUAAUAUAAACUACCAUGCCACAAUAAUUAUAUAAUAUACAAAUUCAUUAUACCCAUGCAGACUUCAUUUAUGCAUACAACGUAAUCUUAAAACUUAAAGUUGAAUAUAAUUAUUGUAACUUAACGUGGAUUGAAUGCAAAACUUAGGGUGGGUUUGGAUGGGCGAUUGGGUGCGGUGCGGUGCGUUUAGCCUACAUUUUGUCUCACGCUACAGUGUUGCUACAGUAUUUAAUCUCACCGCCACCGUUGUUUUUACAUUAACCGCAGGUAAACGCACUGCCCAUCCAAACUCACCCUAAGUAUAUCUUUAUAUUUAUUAGUGUUCAUCUAUUGCUUUCAAUAAACCACAUGUACAUAUUGAUUAUGACAUUCUAAAAUAAACACAACAUUUUAACAUAACUCUUAUAAUACAUUCUUUCAACUCUAACAUAUCAUAUCAUAUCAUUACAUUAAUUACACAUAAAAUAUUCUUUUACACAUAAUCUGCCAAAAUAUUAUUUGUUGUUAUCAUCAUACCGUAAAAUGAACCGGACUACAAAUUCAAUGCAUUUAGGGAAUAUUAUUUGAGAAAUGUCUUAGUUAUGCUGAAUAUUGCAUUCAAGAAAUGGAAACUCAAGUGAAGUAGAUGUGGGUUAUGGUGUUUAUUGUGAGUAUUAAGCAUUGCAGGGUUCUAUGGAACUCAAUAGCUUUCAAAAAGUCGAACAAAAUUAAAUUGUUAGUGGGGAUUGAAACUCAAUCGAUAAAAAAAGAAAAAGAAGAGAAAAUUGAAAAUUGAAAAUUGAAAAUUGGAAGAAUAAACAAUUAAUGUAAAUAGAAAUCUGAUUGGUGAGUUUUCAUUUUUGUUUUAUGAAAUUUCUCUUUUCUUUGUUUCCAAUCUUUCAAUUGUUUAUCUAUUUAUGUAUGAAGGUUGCAGUUUAUAAGAUCUCAAAUGUUUGAUAAAAAGAAUUUAAAUUAAUCCCAAAGCUUUAAUGUGCAAAAGAAAACAUGCCAAAAUUGUCAAAGAUUCCAUUGACAACAAACAAAAAUGGAUUUGCUUUCACAUAUCAACUUACCCACCAUAAUAUUAAUGCAAAUUCCUUUAUCAAAACAAUGCUUUGAGUCUCCAAAUUAUAAUGUAAAAUUGGUUAGCUGGUGUUUUCAAGCAUCAAAAUAUAUCUAUUUUUGUUGUGAUUCACACCAGCUGACAGAAAGAUUAGCUUAGCAAGAUUCCUUGCUUUGUUGAGUAAAUUGAAAUUAUUGAAGGUGUUCAAGGUCAAAUAUUAACCUAAAUGUUACAAUAUUUAACGCAAAAGGAAUACCAUAAGUGAUUGUUGCAUAUCAUACCAUAGAUAAAAAGGAAUAAAACGGUGGGACAACCAACAAAGUCAAGACUUGAUUCAUUUAUCAAAUCCUUGCUAUCUCAGCUCAGCCAUCAAAAUGUAACGUAGUAGUUUAUACUUGUGAGUUUGGUUUCUCAAGAAUUGAAUUUAUUAUCAAAAUUCAACAUUUCCAAUAAUUAUCAAAAUACCGGUGAGCUCCAGUUUCCGAGCGUUGCUGCGCUAUAAUAGAGAAAAAGCUUAGCAAUCCAGACUGUCUCUGUGCUAUUUUGCAAACUCGUAUGCUGGAGUGAGAAAUGAAAUCCAAGUGUAGCCAGUUUUCUCAAUUCAUAUUUGAUCUUUAAGAUAUCAUCCCUAUUAUUUAGGGAUGGCAAAACUCAAACCAUCAUUCAGAAUAGAGAGGAUUUUCUUUUGAAAGUGAAUGCAGAUUGAAUUUUAUAGUAGUUAAAGCAAUUAACACACAAGCUUGUAACACAAGGUAACUUGAAAAAAGUACCAUAAUUUCACUCACUCGAACGAAAUGGGAUCAUGGCAACAUGGAUUUGUGGCUGAUUCGAUGCUCGUGUUGUGUUGUGGUGUUCAUCGGAUCUUCAUCUGUUUAAGAAUCUUAACCAUCAGGUGAGACCUGUUUUGGAUUAAGUUAUAAAAAUUAUGCCACUUACAGCAAUUAUUUUAAUUAGUUAAUGACAACCUUAAACAUCAAAUCCUCUUCGACUUGCAAUUUUUUUCCGCAGAAAACAAUAUCAACAUCUAAGCAAUCUUAUAGAUAUCUAACCAACAAAAACCAAAUAUAAACUGAACAAUUCUCCAAAUACAGAAACCAGGAAAUAGUUAACAUCUCAAACAUAUAACCCAAACAAUAACAGCAAUAUUAAGAAGCUCACAACAAAAAAUUCCUAUUACAUCUUACACAUAUAUGUUCUAGCUCCGCAUCCCUCUUCAUAUUCAGUAUCCAUUUCAUGCCUUCUUCAUAUUUAGUAUUCAUUUGAUGCAUCUCUCGCUGGUUGACGUAUUACAUGUUUCUCAAUAUUCUCUUGUAUUCCAUUGAUACGAACCAGGCUCUCUAAAUAUGCAUGAAGGGAGAUGGUGAACCGAAAAUGAUCUAGAUAAGUAUUAAUCUGAAGCUCCUUAAGCUCUUGGGUGGAGGCGUCAAAUAGGAGUACUUCAUCAUUUGUGUCUCUAAGAAACAAGUCACCAUUUUUCCCAAAUCCCAAUGGGUGUACAACUCCAGAAAUGGAUUUAAUAUUGAAUUGUUUAGUCCACACUCCUUCACUUGUAACCCAUAAAUCAAAAGACGUGUCAAUUCCUUCCGUUGGGUAAACAAUAGCACCAAGUGAUCCAUUAAACACCAAUAGAUUAACAUAGUAUUCUGGGAAAGACCCAACGAAUUCUGGGAUAGGUAAAAUUGAGAACUUCUCAUUCCCCAUGUCAAAUGAAAGAAUUAGUCCUCUAAAAUCAAGAUAUGCCCGUCUCUGUUUUCAUAUAGCAAAUUCCGUCUACAUAAUUAUUUCCCAAAGUUGUUCCAGUUGGUUUAUAAUCAGGACAUGGAAUUUCCUUCCAGGAAUUACUUCUAAGAGAAUACAACUCAACUUGGUACAUAAAAUGAGAAUGUGGAUAUUGUUCUUCACUAUUAACAAAAGUAAGAGUAACAAAUCGUAUGACUUUGUAGUCAUCAGUUUUAGAAUCAAACCCAAAAGAAGCGUGGUUAAAUUCAACGUGAUCUAAAGUAAGGUAGGUUUCUUCGAAUGGGGAAAAAUAUGGAGGGCGUUGGAUUGAAGAUGGUGGAAGGAUUUUAAACUCUCUGGUUGAUGGGUUCCAAAUGGCAGCCUUAUCCUUUGAAGGAUCAAGUAAACACAACAAUCCAUGACAAGCACCAUAAACAGAGGGGCGAUCAUUCUUAAAAAAGGGCAAGUGAAUGUUUUGUUUUACUAUAUAAUUUUGAUAUUUUUCAUUUGAAAGUUGAGAGAAAUAACGUUGGAAGGUGUUACCAUCACAGCGACUAAGCAGUAGAUUAAGGUUGUUGUUUUCAAGGUUGUUGUGAUAAUUAUUGGAAAUGAAAUGAGGAGUUUGAAAAGAAGAACACCAAUACUUACAAACACAGUUGAAGCGAGUAAGGGAUUUAACUGGCAGCUUUGACAGAAUUUCCAUAACCAAAGCUUCUGGCAAUUCAAACCUUGGCCUCUGCAUCUUGCUAUUUUGAUUUUCUUUGUAAUUGGGUAAGAGGAAUGAAUAAAAUGGGAGUUGGUAGGUGUCAUCUAUGGUCCAAACCUUAACCAGGAAGCAAAGAAGCAUAAAAGGUAAGCAUUUGAUAGGUUAUAAUAAUUAUAUGGAAUUUAGGAAAAUUUACUUAUUUGCAUUUGUAUCCAUGUGAGGAAGGAUUAAGAUCAAAUAUAAUAUAAUACGUACUUUUUGAAUUUAAUCCCCAAUUUUUAAAAGAAUAAAUUUAAAGGAUAUCACAUUUAUUUACUUUUUGUAUAUUUGAAAUUUAAUACUUAAUUUUUAUUUUAAAGAAUUCAAUCUCUCUAUUUUUUAAAAGCCAAAAACAGUGAUGUAGUUUUUUUUUUCACACGGCAAUCAAAAAAAAAAAUUUAAAGGUAGUUUUUUUUUCUCGUUUCUGCUCUUUUUCUUUUUUUCGUCUGUUCUAUUUUACUUGCGUUUUUUUUUUUGAGUUUUUUCUUUUCUUCUUUCGACAUACAUAUAUCUACAUUUUUUUAAAAAAAAGAACAGUUUAUAUAUAUACAUACACAAAAAAAUAAAAAUAAAAAAACUCACCUUUGAACUUUCCGGACUCGGCUACGUCGGCCGGUGCGGCGGAGACAAGGCGGCCCUUUGGCCGGAAUCUGGAUUUCAUCCAGAGAAAAGAGACCCCCUUUUCCCUUUUUUUGGUUUCUUUACAGACUGCCGGGAAUGAUUUCUUUUCCUCAAAAGUUGUCUUUUAUAGCCCCCCCCCCAACACCCCAGCAAAACGAUGUCGUUUUGGUUGGCGUACUUGAGCAAGAAACGACGUCGUUUUGGCCUUAGGAUCCGCUUGUGACCCGACCCGCAAAGAGGAUCCGCGUGUCACCAUUUAGGGGGAUAUCUUCACAAUUGGUGCCUCCACUUUUGUCUCGCUUUCAAUGUAGUUUUUUCAUAUAUUUUUAAUUUUGGCUACAUAAUUUUUCGUCUGUUUUAAUUUGGUCCCCAGACCAUGCACACGCGCCUCACUAGAACGAUGCCGUUUGGUCAGUUAGGGAGUAUUUCCGUUUUUGCUCCUCUUCCUUUCACGCGUGUUGUGAUUUAGUCCUUUUUGUGCUUUUUAUUGUUAAUUUCGACCCUAAAACCUUGUUUAUUUUCAAUUUAAUCCUUAAUCUGCUAUUUUAGUUAUUUUUCCUGUUAAAUUAAUUAUUUUAACAUUAUUAAAACUAUUAUAUUGCAUAAUUAUUAUUUAUUAUUAAUAUUAUUAUCCUUAUCUCGUUUGUACCUUUUUAUUCUAAAAUUUUGUUAUAUAUAUAUAUACAUAUCCGCAUAUGCUUUUCUAAUAUAUAUAUGUAUAUUUUUAAGGUUAUUAUAAAUAUACUUUUAUAUUUCAUUUUUUAUACUUAUAUCUAUAUCCACGUAUUUUAAUUUAUAUACAUAUAGAUUUUAUAUAUACUUAUUAUAAUUUUUUUAUUGUCAUAAAUACAUACACAUGUACACAUACUUUUAUAUGUUCUUCUAUAUUCCAUAAUUCUUAUAUACAUCCAUAUACAUAUGUAUAUUUUAAUCUACAUACAUAUAUGUAUAUAUACACAUACGACAUAUAUUUCUAUUUUAUAAUUUUAAAAUAAAUAUAUAUAUAUCUAUAUAUUCUUCUUAUUUUUAUAUACACAUGCAUAUAUUUUAUAUUUCCUUUAUUGUUUCGUUGUUUCGCGUAAUGUCAACCUUUUUAUGCCUAUUUUAUUUUAAAAGCAUUUUAAUUCGACUCUUUUAUUUACUAUUUAUCUUACAUUAAUUAAUUUGUCUCUGUAUUUAUUUUGCUACGUACAAAAUCGUGCUACAUUUUACCCGAUUCAUUAAAAAUGAUGUUUUAAACAAGCAAUAUUCAUAUUUUGAAAUUCGAAAAGUCGUUCCCUAACUUACGGGGUUUCGACUUUCUAAAAAAAAUCCAAAUACCGAACAUUUUUAAGCAUAAAUUUUAAAUAAUCUCAAGAAUUACUAAAAGAUCGUGUUCUAACUUAGGGAAUAUGAUUUUUUUCUAAAACCGAUAUAGUCAAACAUCUUUUAAAAUAAAUUUUUCGGCGUUUAUUUGUGCAUCAAGAAUUUAAGACAUUGUGUCCUAAUUCACGGGACGCGAUUCAUUUUCUCGAUUAACGUAAAAUAUGUCCAUUUGUCAACUUUUUAAUAUUUUAACAAGGGAUCGUAUUUUAAAUCUCUUUAAAGUUUUCAAUUUUUGACGAGACACUAAUUAAUCAACUAAGUACCAAUUUUGGGCGCGGGGGUGCUAAUUAGAGGUGAUCAUGGGUUGGGCAGUCCGGCCCGGCCCGAUGGCCCACCCAAAAUAUGAGAGGGUUUGGGUAAAAAUAUAGGCCCGAAAUAUGGGUUUGGGCAAAAAAUGAGGCCCGUUGGCAAAACUUUUUUGGUCCAGGCCUGGCCCGAAUAUAUAAUAAAUAUAUAUUUUUAUUUUUAAAAUACAUUUUCCAUUUCCCCAUUUCCCCAUUUCCCAUUAGACAUUUAGUAUUUAUAUAAUAAAUAUAUAUUUUUUAUUUUUUAAUUUUAAAGUAUUUUUAAAAUACUUCUUUUAUUUUUUAUUUUUAAGAUACAAUUUUGUUGUUUAUUAAAAAAAGGGUCGGGCUCGGGCUUAGGAUUUUUUCUCGGGCCAGGCUUGGACAAAAUUUCAGGCCCAUAUUUUGGGCUAGGCCGGGCCCAGGCCUAGGACGCGGGCCAAAAAAAAAUUUAGGCCUGGCCCAGCCCAUGAUCACCUUUAGUGCUAAUCCUUCCUUGUACGUAACCGACGCCCGAACUCGUGCUUAUGUGGCACGGCACAUAGGCUACUUUGUUGACCUAUGGUUUGACCGACGAUCAACUCACAUUUUCUGUUAAAAUUGGGCUAAUUUAUUAAAAAAUUGUACCGUUAACGGUGUCAAUCCAAAAAAAAAAAGGUUAAUGGCUCAAACCCAAAAACUCAAAAAAUUGAGUGUUUUUUCGACAAUUAUGCGAAAUUCUUUGUUAAAUUUGUUGGUUUGAUAUUCUUUCAAAAGUACAUUAUAAUGCCUUUUUUUUUAACCCAAACCCAAACUUUUGAAAUCAAAUACUAUUUUGAGAGGGAAAAUAUUUGAUUUUUUUUUUUGUUCAAUUGCUUGAAUCUGGUUGGAUAGUUUCUAUUUUCGUUUUAUUAAAUUUCCUUUUUCUCUGUUUGAAGGCGACUUUAAAGAAAAGAGUAACAUGCGAAGGAAUUGCAUUGGACUUUGCAAAGAUCAUAAAACACACAUUAAAAAUAUGUAUUAUUAGUUCUGUUGGACUUAAAGAUUUUGGGUUGUAACACUAGUAGAAAUUAUAUAAAGAAAGAUAUUGAAUGUUAUGGGAUUGGGUUUGGGUUAUUUUAAAUCUAUAUUCAGAUUAAUGUUAUUUUAAAAUCGAAUAAUUUUGAGUUUAAAUCAUUCAAAGUUGUUGAUCGGAUUUUAUAAAGAUAAAAAAACAUAUUGAAAAUAUGUAAUAUUAAUUGGAUUAUUUUAAACUAUGACAUAAAUACUUGAGUCUCAAAAUAAACACUAGCUCAAUAAAACGCAUAUGAUAAUUUAGAGUACUGUAAUAAAAUACAUAUUGAUAAUUCAGAUAUUACAUUAAACAUUUUUAAACAUACAUGAGACAAUUGUGGUAAAGCUGGCUAUGGUAAUUUUAUGGUAUCGGAUCCAUUACUGCAUAGGCCGUAAAAUAAGUUGGAACAAUUUUGGGGAGUUCCAAAGGUAUGGGAUGGCCCCGGUCUUCCAUAACAAAUAAACAUCUCCCCGAGUAGUAGAACUCUAGUUCUUCUGUGUUUACUGCAUGAAAUUUGUGGAGAUGCUCCUAUAAGUCGGAAAACUAUGUCCGCAACUUGUCGGACCGUAUAGGUGGAUCUAGGUGUGAGUCCCAUAGCUAAAUCCCAAAAUUCAUUAAAACAAAUAAGAGACAAUAAAGUAUAUUAAACACAAAUCUGAAUGUGAAGAAAAAAUAAAAACAAUUUAUUCGAUAUACCCGGAUCUAAAUUUGUCCUAAGUUGUAUGGCCGAUUGGAAGUAUGCCAGAGGAUAUGGUGCAAAGUCGGAACAUGUGCCAUGUUUUGUCCAUUCGUUGUGCAAAAAGCUAAUGUCUAACUUUCCCAAUAUCAAGUUUGGCCAUAGUCGGGGCAAGUCUACCCAAAGAACUGGAUCACUUUUCAGCAAACUCUUUGAAAUUAAAAACAAAAAUCUGGUUAGAUGACAGAUAAUUUACUUAAUAGUUUUAGGCGAAGAAUGUACGUAUGCGUACUUCGAGUUUCUUCUUAUCUAGAUUAGGAUUCGGAUUGUUGCAAAGAUUACUUGGACCAUACUGGGUCACCGGCUUGUCAUUAGCAUCUUGUGCCCAAAUUCCAUGUAUUGUAAAUUCUGUUGGGAUAGGGGUUUUACAUCUCGAAGUAGAGCUGCAAACUGAUGGAGGCCAUUGAAGUGCCAGCUUGUAGAAGUGCGGAAUUGCUGGUUGCUGAGGUACUGCAAAUGCUACCCAUAAUGAAAAAUUGAUACAAUGCAUUUUUACAAAUUUACAAAUAAAAAGAGAACUACUCCAUAUAUAAAUAUUACAUGCAUGGAUGAUUGGGCUGAGAUUGGAUGAUUGUGCUUUGCGAGUAGCUGGUUUAUGAUCUCCUUUAUAAUCUUGGCGCACAUAUUUCACAAAAUUUUCAAAGUCCUGCAACCAUGAAAUAAAUAUUGAGGUUACUUAUCACAAAGUGUUACUUCACAAUCACACCAAGAGAGAAAUAAACAAACUCACUUGUCUGAGUGGCUGAUUAUUCACCACCACCCAUGGCACAUCUUCUUGAGGUGGCUUCAGAUGUGCAGUCUCGUUAGCAUAUUGCAGCAGAAGCUGCAUUUCAUUAAUUUGGAAAAUCAAUGUUAGAAAAAGCUAAGAAGUGUUAAUUAAAUACUAAGACAUGCAGCCAACCUUAUAUCCAAAUCCAGUAGUAUAGCAUUUGUUGAUUAUCUCCUCAUUCAAUCUCAGCUUUUCACUGCAAUUUUUCCACAGUGCUUCAACGGGCCCCCCCUUUAAGCUUUGUUGCUCUGUGCAGCGAAUGAAUUCCAAGUGCUCUUUCUGCACCACAGUAGAGUAAUUAAACACGAGUUGGAGAUGAGUACAAAUACUUAUGGCUCAUAGCAGUUACUGCAUCAGGCCAUAAAUGGAUGACACAACUAUGUAUAGUGUUUAAGUGACGUUCUUCUUCUCCAUGUUGCACAUUAUCGCAAAAACUAUAAUUAGUUAUAACACCAAAAAGAACUAGAACUUCAUUAGUUAAUAAUGAUAAUACAUUAAAAUGAAGAACGGAGUAGUAAACCUGGCAAUGGAUUUCAGCAUUGCCCCAAGGGACCAAUCUUAGAUUGGUAAUGGUAUGGAGGUCAGUGCGGAAGACCUUGACUAGGCUAUUGGAGAUAAGCGAGAAUAUUGCAAGAGCAGCCAGAAUAUAGAAGAUUAAUGGUUGAAGAUAAGCCAUUGUUUCAGUGGUAGCUUUUGCACAAUGCUAGACCUCCAUUGUGCAAGGCUUCUUAUAGUUGAGAAUUGGGAUGCUGAGUAUUGCUUUCUGUCACGUUCAGAAACCAUGAGACAAAUUUACAAAGUUAUCAUCUUUAAAAAAACAAUUAUACACCACUUUAAAAAAAAAUUAUUUACAUGAAAGCUUGUUUAUCUAUUUAUGUAUGAAUAUUGUCUAAACAUGAAAGGAGAAAUCUUAUUAGAUAAUAGAGUUUUAUAAUAACUUAUAAUUUAAAUUAAGUUAUUAACGUAUUUACUGAAUCAUUGGCCUUCUAAAAUGCUUUUAGAUAUCAAAUCCUCUUCGACUUGCAAUUUUUUUCUGCAGAAAACAAUAUCAACAUCUAAGCAAUCUUAUAGAUAUCUAAGCAACAAAAACCAAACAUAAACUGAACAAUUCUCCAAAUACAGAAACCAGGAAAUAGUUAACAUCUCAAACAUAUAACCCAAACAAUUAUAGCAAUAUUAAGAAGCUCACAACAAAAAAUUCCUAUUACAUCUUACACAUAUAUGUUCCAGCUCCACAUCCCUCUUCAUAUUCAGUAUCCAUUUCAUGCCUUCUUCAUAUUUAGUAUUCAUUUGAUGCAUCUCUCGCUGGUUGACGUAUUACAUGUUUCUCAAUAUUCUCUUGUAUUCCAUUGAUACGAACCAGGCUCUCUAAAUAAGCAUGAAGGGAGAUGGUGAACCGAAAAUGAUCUAGGUAAGUAUUAAUCUCAAGCUCCUUAAGCUCUUGGGUGGAGGCGUCAAAUAGGAGUACUUCAUCAUUUGUGUCUGUAAGAAACAAGUCACCAUUUUUUCCAAAUCCCAAUGGGUGUACAACUCCAGAAAUGGAUUGUUUAGUCCACACUCCUUCACUUGUAACCCAUAAAUCAAAAGACGUGUCAAUUCUUUCCGUUGGGUAAACAAUAGCACCAAGUGAUCCAUUAAACACCAACAGAUUAACAUAGUAUUCUGGGAAAGACCCAACGAAUUCUGGGAUAGGUAAAAUUGAGAACUUCUCAUUCCCCAUGUCAAAUGAAAGAAUUAGUCCUCUAAAAUCAAGAUAUGCCCGUCUCUGUUUUCAUAUAGCAAAUUCCGUCUACAUAAUUAUUUCCCAAAGUUGUUCCAGUUGGUUUAUAAUCAGGACAUGGAAUUUCCUUCCAGGAAUUACUUCUAAGAGAAUACAACUCAACUUGGUACAUAAAAUGAGAAUGUGGAUAUUGUUCUUCACUAUUAACAAAAGUAAGAGUAACAAAUCGUAUGACUUUGUAGUCAUCAGUUUUAGAAUCAAACCCAAAAGAAGCGUGGUUAAAUUCAACGUGAUCUAAAGUAAGGUAGGUUUCUUCGAAUGGGGAAAAAUAUGGAGGGCGUUGGAUUGAAGAUGGUGGAAGGAUUUUAAACUCUCUGGUUGAUGGGUUCCAAAUGGCAGCCUUAUCCUUUGAAGGAUCAAGUAAACACAACAAUCCAUGACAAGCACCAUAAACAGAGGGGCGAUCAUUCUUAAAAAAGGGCAAGUGAAUGUUUUGUUUUACUAUAUAAUUUUGAUAUUUUUCAUUUGAAAGUUGAGAGAAAUAACGUUGGAAGGUGUUACCAUCACAGCGACUAAGCAGUAGAUUAAGGUUGUUGUUUUCAAGGUUGUUGUGAUAAUUAUUGGAAAUGAAAUGAGGAGUUUGAAAAGAAGAACACCAAUACUUACAAACACAGUUGAAGCGAGUAAGGGAUUUAACUGGAAGCUUUGACAGAAUUCCCAUAACCAAAGCUUCUGGCAAUUCAAAUCUUGGCCUCUGCAUCUUGCUAUUUUGAUUUUCUUUGUAAUUGGGUAAGAGGAAUGAAUAAGCAAGCAAAAUGGGAGUUGGUAUGGUCCAAACCUUAACCAGGAAGCAAAGAAGCAUAAAAGGUAAGCAUUUGAUAGGUUAUAAAAAUUAUAUGGAAUUUAGGAAAAUUUACUUAUUUGCAUUUGUAUCCAUGUGAGGAAGGAUUAAGAUCAAAUAUAAUAUAAUACAUACUUUUUGAAUUUAAUCCCCAAUUUUUAAAAGAUUAAAUUUAAAGGAUAUCAC
rnacentral:lncRNA from 1 species